ACUCUUCUCCCGGUGUGACUCAAAGUAUUCCCUUUUGUUAUGUGAUUUGCAUUCCAACUAUUCCUGCCCUGCGAAAGUAAAACUAUUUCUUCUGCAUCUUUGAAUGAUUGUGAUUUAAUUUUCUUGUCAUUUUGCCAACUAUCAUUAUGCUGUCAUUGUUUCAUAUCUUAUUUGACAUAUGUUGAUUUGGAUAGAUUUUAAUUGCUCUGUUUAUUCUCUUUAUAAUCUGUCUAUUUCGAUUUUUCUUCAUUUUAGGGAAUAUGCUAAACUUUUAGUAAGCCGUGGCUUGAUUGGAGAGGCUAUUAAAAAUUUUGAGGAUCUGGUGUUGUGGGAUAGUCUAAUACUGCAAUUGGUAUGAUGUCAUAGAUAACCAUUACCCUAAUCUCUCUGUCUAUCUCUCUCUCUCUCUCUUUCGUGUUGCUAAUGGGAGUUGGUUUUGUGUAUGAUGUAAAAAACAGCCUAUUGGGGAAGAAAGCAGCAGCUGUUGAACUAAUAAAAGCAAGGCUGUCUGAAAAGCCUAAUGACCCUACAUUAUGGUUUGUUGAUGAGCCUUUUCUAUGAUCCAUUUUAUAGUUACUUCUCAUUUCAGUUAAAUCCAUUGUUGAUGUCACUUAUUGCAAUCUAGGGAUGAUUGUUCAUUGGAUGUGAGGAUAUUGUCAGAAGAAAAUGAAACCUUUUAAUUUUAUCUUUUACUUGCUGUAGCCGACUUAAAAGGUCACUGUGCGUUCUUACUGAUUGCUUUUGGUCUUGCAUUUGAGUCAGUGGAUUUUAUACUCAUAUUCUGACAUGUAUUGUUAGCCUUCUGACGGUUCUGCACCUUGGUCCUAUAUUAUCUUCAGCAGUAUUAUCUAAAAGAUCAUUUUUUGCCGAAGAAUAUUUGCAUUCUAAACUAGAAAAGGAGGGGCCGCCCGGGCCCGGGGGGGGGGGGGGGGGUGUGUGUGUGUGAAGGAAGCAUCAGGAGGUUGUUUUCCACUUAUCCUCUUCCCUGCCUGCAUUUUAGAUGAUUCUGAUGCACCAGGUGCCGUGAAAUGGUUGAGAAAUACAUACCAUCAAGUGAAUUCUGAAAAUCAUAUCCUUUUUGAGAAUAUUUGGUGCUAGACAUUUGAAUAUGUGGCCACAAUUUAAACAAUAAAGAUUUUCUGCACUGAUUUCUUAUAAUGGAUAUAUGCAUGUAAUUAUAAUAUGAUAUCUUUUGAUUAUUGACCCAUUUGUUUAGAAAGAAGGGGAAAAAAAAAACAUGGUUGAAAGACAACUGUUACUUGACCUUAUCUUGGUCUGUUCACUGCCGUUUGUUUCCUAUAACUUCUGGUGAUAAUGUAGCCAGAAUGAUGAGUUGAAUUGUGGUUUACUGACUUGUGAUACAUUUUGUAGGUGUUCAUUUUUGUUUUCUAAAUUUGUUAUCUAAAGGAAUGACAAGUUGACAACUCAGCCUCUCUCUCUCUCUCUCUCUCUCUCUCUCUCUGUGUGUCUGUGUCAGGGAUCUGAUUUGUGGAAAGAAAGAGAUCGGUUUGAAAGGUUUUCAUAUGCAUCCUUGGAACUUUGUAAGGUUUACAUGGAAAUUUCUUCCUCUUCUGGUAGCCGUCAAGAACUCUUUGCUGCUGAGAUGCACCUGAAGAACGUACUUAAACAAGUAAAAUACCUUAUAAUUCGAUAUUUAAGACACUUACAGAUGGUAUUACAUUGACAGCAGUAAAACAAAGAAGCAACUGAAAGUUAUCUUCAUAUGAGAAUGAAAGCUUUUCAGCAGCAUAAGCCUUUCACUAUUCAAUUCCAAACACGUUCCUCAACAUGAUAACAAAUUCGUAGACCUUUUCUGGGUCUGGAAGGAUCCUGUAACAGUUUCUCUUUGCAUGCACUUGUUCAUCCAUGCUGAGAAUUUGGGGCACUCAUUCUCAACCUUAAAUCCCCCAAAUUCCUCAACCGCGUAAAACCAUCAAGUCAGUGGAAUGGCAAUCACAUCAACGAAUCCAAAGCUGUCCCCGCCAAAGAAAUCCUUCUCCCCUAAAGCUCCCUCAAGUUGCUUCAAAAUCUCUAUAAAUUCAUUCUUCGCCGGGGACCUCGCCCUUCGUUUUGCAUAUGUUGCAGACUGGAUCGAAUACCUGCCAAAAAAGUGGUGUCAUCUUUUAAGUUCGCAUUUAGAAAGAUACAAACAUUUACACUUGAGAAUUAUAGACUGACCUUCUUGUCAAUAAAAUCUGCCCAGAACCUUGCCUUAGCUCUCUCAGAAGCACAGGAUGGGAGAAGUGAUGGCGAAGGCCAAGUCUCGUCAAUUUAGUUGACUAUAAUAGUGGAUUAACACAAUGGUUCCCCAUCGUGCAGCAAAACUGGGACUUUCUUGUAGAUGGGGUUUGAUUUGAGCAACAGGUCACUCUUGCCCCCGAACAAGUUCUCAGCUCUGGCUUCAUAUCCAACUCCUUUCUCAGCCAAUGCAAUCUUUGCUCUCAAGCAAAAUGGGCUAACCCAACAGUCCAAAAGAACAACCUCUCCCUUUGACAUAUUCAACUAUCAAGGUUGGUAUUUAUAUAGGAGAAAAGAUGAAAUUCCCAAAGAUUGUGUCGCAAUCAAGGUUUGUUCGUUGGCACUUCGAUAAAGGAUGUGGCCUUGUUCUUAUCAUUUCUUAGUUUUUGAAGCUAAAUGUUUUACUUGGCUUUCAACAGGCACAAGAACAAGUUUGUCUUGUGUAAAUAAAAUAAAACCAUAAAAUUCCAUUAUUAGUGUAAAACCAAAAUAAUUAAAAUAAUAAAAGUGAGUUAGUCGUGCGUGUGGACCUCCUCUUUAUGAGUUUGUUAUCACACCAUAUUUGGUUUCUAUAAAUAAAAUAACUAAAACUCUCUUAUCUAAGUAAGAAUAUUGUUAUUUUGAAAUACCAACUCAAUCUCUAACAAAUCUUGAGAUAUAACUUAAGAUUCUUGAGCUUCCAAUAUAAAACAAGUAAGAUUAACAUAACUUUUUCACUUCCUUCCAUCAAAGAAGGGAAUAAGUUAUAUAAUUUAAUUUAUGUUUAAUUAAAUUAUUUUAAAUGGGUAAUAAUUAUAAAUUUUUCCACUUUAUUUAAUUAACUAGAUAAGACCAUAUUGUAAAUUCUUACAUUUAUCACUUUAAUCUCUUUCCUUUUUCAUUCCAACUCCGGUACAAACUAUUCCUUUUCAAAAAGUUGUACUCAAAUUGAUAAGUCUUGGAAGACCAAAACACUAUUUAAAAUUUAUUAUUUGCUUUAGUAGCUUUCAUGGGUGCAAGGUAAGGAACAAAACUCGGUGGAUUUUAUGACAAAAGCUUUAUCUUAUGUAGCACUUUUUUCGAUAUCUCGAACUUUACUCUUUAAGAAUGUUGUAUAAUAUUUCUACAAUAACAACAAACAAAUUAUAACCCUGAAAGAUCUAUAUACACCUCGAUCUCUAGCUAGUUCUCUACAAAAUAUGGCACUAAGUAACAAUGUAAUCGGAGCCAUCAACUUUGUUGCCGUACUUCUUUCAAUCCCAGUCAUCGGUGCCGGAAUCUGGCUUGCCACCGAGGCAGACAAUUCUUGUGUCAAGCUUCUACAAUGGCCAGUCAUUAUUUUGGGAAUCUUGAUUCUAGUCGUGGCUCUAGCAGGCUUUAUUGGAGGAUUUUGGCGCAUCCCUUGGCUCCUUAUACUUUAUCUCGUUGCCAUGCUCAUUCUUAUAAUAUUGCUGGCUUGUCUAGUUGUUUUCAUUUACAUGGUCACGAUUAAGGGCUCAGGUCACCUUGCACCCAGUAGAGCGUACUUGGAAUACCGCCUCGAUGAUUUUUCUGGAUGGCUACGUAGAAGAGUUCGAAGCCCUUACAAAUGGGAUCGGAUCAAAAGCUGUCUCAGCUCGACACAGAUGUGCCCUGAGUUGAACCAUGUAAAAAUGAGUUGCAAAUACUGUUUGGUUACUGAGAAACAGAGAGAAAAUUGAUGAAUAUUCCAGAUCUUAUUAUUUCAUUAAUUACAAAUGAGUAAAUCACAAGUCUUUAUACUUGCAUUUCAUUAGUAAAAGCUAUUAACGAAACUGAUCUGUAUUAACUAACUAAUACUAACUAACUAAUCACGCGAACUCUCAUUGCUGCAUAACAGAAUCAGCUGACUCAGCAUUGUUGACGUGGCAUUGCUGACGCACCUUAGCUUCUGACUUCUUCUCUCUUCUUAGCUCAGCACAAUGAGCUUUCUUCACAGCCCCUCUCAAACUCAAGGGGCAUAAAUGCACAUUGAGUUUGUUCCUCAGAUAAAUGAACUGAGAAGAGUUUAAGGGCUUAGUCAUUAUGUCUGCUAUCUGUUCUGUACUAGGAACAUAUAGAAUCUUAAGAUCUCCAGUUAGAACCUUAUCUCUGAUAAAAUGCAGAUCGAUUUCUAUGUGUUUUGUUCUUGAGUGAAACACUGGAUUAUGAGCAAGAUCUUUGGCACUUACAUUGUCACACCAUAUAACUGGUUUCUCCACACGACAUAGAUUAAUCUCAAGAAACAAAGAUUUUAUCCAUGUUAUCUCUGAAACAGCUGCUGCAAGUGCUCUGUAUUCACUUUCUGCAGAAGAUUUUGUAACUACAGAUUGCUUCUUUGAGGACCAUGAGAUUAAGUUGUUUCCUAGGUACACACAAUAUGCACCAGUGGAUCUUCUGUCAUCAAGAUCACUUCCCCAGUCUGCAUCUGUAAAUGCUGUAACCUUCAGCUCACCUUUCUUAACAAAUUUCAGCCCAUAGUCUUGUGUUUCCUUCAGAUAUCUAAGCACACGUUUGCAUGCCAUAAGAUGUUGAAGUGUUGGUGAAGAUACAUACUGACUUAGCUUAUGAACUGAAUAGGCAAUUUCAGGUCUUGUCAAAACUAAAUACUGAAGACCUCCUACAAUGCUUCUGUAAUGAGAUGGAUCUUCUAUGUAAUAACCCAUUUCCCCUUCUAUAUUCUUCUGCAAUCUGUAAUCUUUGCUGCUGCUCAUUGGUGUAUCUAUUCCUUUACACUCGAGCAUAUCAGCUUUAGCCAGCAAGUCUCUGAUAUACUUCCUUUGUGAUAGAUACAUACGGCCAAGAUCAUACAAAACUUCAAUUCCAAGAAAAUAAGAUAACUUUCCCAGAUCCUUUAAUGCAAAUGCAGAACUGAAUAGCUUGAUAAAAUCUUCCAGCUCAUCACAAUUUGAUCCUGUAAUCAAUAUGUCAUCCACAUAUAUCAGGAUUAAAAUAAUUGAUCUUUUAUUCUUUUUCAAGAACAAAGAUGAGUCAGACUUAGAAUUCUCAAAUCCCCAUUGCACAAGACUGUUUCUCAGCUUGUCAAAACAUGCUCGUGGAGCUUGUUUCAAACCAUAAAGUGCCUUGUGAAGCUUGCACACAAAAUCAGGUCUUUUGGAAUCAAUAAACCCUUCUGGUUGACUCAUAUACACCUCCUCAAUUAAAUCUCCAUUUAAGAAUGCAUUAUUCACAUCAACCUGUCUUAUUUGCCACUGAUUCAUUACUGCUAGACUCAGGACUAUUCUAACUGUUGCUGCUUUCACCACUGGACUGAAAGUCUCAAAGUAGUUCACUCCUUCUAUUUGCUGAAAUCCUUUAGCAACCAACCUUGCCUUAUAUUUUGCAACACUUCCAUCAGUAUUUGAUUUCACUCGAAAUACCCAUUUGUUGCCAACAAGUUUGUGAUGUUCUGUUCUUGGCACAAGUGUCCAGGUACCAUUUGACAUUAGUGCAUCAUAUUCAGCUUUCAUUACUUGAAACCAUCUCUCAUCAUUGAUAGCCUCCUGAACUGUAUCUGGUUCUUUAUGCAACAAUACUGCAGUAUAUACCUUUGGCUUAAAGAUACCUGCUUUCCCUCUAGUGAUCAUGGGGUGUUGGUUUAGUGAUGGUGAGGUUGUCAUUGUUUGAUUGAGAUGAGGGAUAUUGUUAUUGUGUUGGUUUUGUGAAUUUUCAUUUGAGGGCUGUUCUAAUGUUGUGUCAGGUAUAGAAGGUAACAUUAUAGGUGCAGAUGGAUUAUUUCUGUCUGUGUUUGAGGGUUGUUGAUCUGUUACCUGUGUUGAGACUACUGUUGAAGGAAAAAUGUUGCCACUGGAGUAUGCUUGAGAGAAAGAUUCAUUGCUGGUGACUGAAAAAUCUGUUAUGACAGGUAAUGUUGAUAACUGGAAAACUUGUAUAGGAGUAAUUGUGCAAUAUGUAUCAGACUUAGAUUUAUUUGAAUUAUGAAAGCUAGGAUCAGCUGCAAAUGGAUAAGAGUGUUCAUCAAAGACAACAUGCCUAGCUAUAUAUAUAUGUCCAGAGGGGUGAUAACACUUGUAGCCUUUAUGAGAUGGACUAUAACCAAGAAAAAUGCAUUUGGUUGUGUGAUAGUCAAACUUGUGCUUAUUGUAAUCUCUCAGAUAUGGAUAACAAGCACAUCCAAAGCAUUUCAGCAUUUUAUAAUCAGCCUUGUGUUUAUAAAGCUUUUCAUAUGGAGUAGACAUCUUAAGUGCAGAAGUAGGGAGUCUAUUAAUGUGAUAGACUGAGGCAUGAAAAGCAUCCCACCAGAAUUGAAAAGGGAGUUUGGCUUGAGCUAGAAGUGUCAGUCCUAAUUCUACAAUUUGUCUGUGUUUUCUUUCAACAAGUCCAUUCUGAUGAUGAGUGUAAGGGCAAGAGUGUCUAAAGAGAAUGCCACAUUCAUUUAGAAAGGCAGUAAAUGGUCUGUAUUCUCCCCCCCAGUCAGAUUGUAGAAUUUUGAUAGAAGUUUGAAAUUGUUUUUCAACUUGAAGUUUGAACAGCUUGAACACUUCUAGAGCUUCUGAUUUAAGUUUCAAAGGAUAAAUCCAGGUGUAUCUGGUAUGAUCAUCCACAAAGCUAAUGUAAUAUCUAAAGCCAUCUCUAGAAUAUGCUGGUGAGGGACCCCAUAGAUCAGUGUGAACAAGUUCUAGAGCUGAUGUGGAUUUGAUAUCAGUGAUUGGAAAAUGAAGUUUAUGAAAUUUUCCUAGUUGACAUGCUUCACAGAAAUGCUUUGUAGCUUGAUUAACAAUAUUUGUAGAGCACAAAUUGGGAUGCACAAGCUUAAGCAAAUGAAUUAGACUUUGAGUAUUAGGAUGACCAAAUCGUUUGUGGAGUAAAGACAUUUUAUUGAAUGAAUUAGUGCUACAAGUAUUCUUAUUUGACUGAAAACAUUUUCCAGAACAAGAACUAUUAACUGAAGUGCUGAAAUAACACUGAGAUAGCAUGGACACAGGCUUAUUUAUUGAGCUCUGAGAUAGAAAAGAGGUAAAUGUAGAUUGUGAUGAUGAACUCAGCUGCAAUUUGUAUAAACCUUUCUCAGCAAUACCCAGUAGCAGAAUUUUCCCUUUCAGUAUAUCCUUCACAAAGCAAACAGAACCAAGGAAUUCAACAGAUAAGUCAUUAUCAGUGGUCAGUCUAGAAACACUUAUUAAAUUCUUUGUAAUAGAUGGAACAAGCAGUAUAUCUUUAAGUGCAAUGCAUGUACUUGCAUAUUGUAUUUUAGAGCUUUGAAUUGUAAGAUUGGCAUUACCAACAUGUGUGAUUGACAAACCUUUACCAUCACCAAUGAUAAGCUUGUCAUUACCUCUAAACUCAUUGCUGACAUGCAUAUUUGCCAUACUAUUUGUUAGAUGAUGUGUAGCUCCACUGUCAAGGUACCAUCCUUCAUCUGUUGGUCCUUCAAAGUUAGCAGCAUAAGCAGCUCCAGCUCCACUCACAGGUGAGCUCAUUGAGUCAGAUAUGUAUGAAGAAUAUGGUGUAUUAUACACGUGAGGUAUCCCUGAAUAAUCAGCUGCAGCAGGCCAUGAAUCUUCAGUAGGUGCAUUAAAAUAUGUCAUAUAGGCUGAUCUCUGAUUUCUUCCUCUUUUCAUGUGUUGAGGUAUAUAAUUUUCUUCAAACCUAUGCCAACAUUCUACUGCUGUGUGUCCAGAUUUAAAACAGAUCUGACAAACAACAGUCUGUUCCUCAUUACCAUCAGAAUUCGACAAACCAGAAUUAACACUAUAUUGUCCUCUCAUGAAUUGUGCCUGCUUAUUAUUGUUUCCAAUCAUUUGACCUCUGCCAAGAUUAUUACCAAGAUUUCCAGAUCCAGAGGGAAAGCCUCUUGGAUGAGAAUUGAUAAACAUUCCUCUUCCAGUAUGAAAAUUGUUUCUUCCAAAUUGAUUUCCACCAUGAAAUCCUCCAUUAUAUCCACCUCUUCGAGCACUACCUCUUGUUUGAGCAUAAUAAGCAUUCAUCAUACCAUAGCCAUUAUUAUUAUGAGAAACAUUAGCAAGAUUUGCAUUGAACAUCUGUUUUUCAUUUAGACUCUGUUCUAAUCUUGUUUCAUGCGUGAGCAGCAAUGCAUAGGAAUCAUCAAAAUCUAGCUUACUAGCAGUAAUGAAAGUUGCUAAAUCUAGAUAGCCUGGUCCAAGACCAUUAAGGAUCUGUUGUAACAGAUCUUUGUCAGAAACUGGACUACCAGCACAGGCUAAUUUAUCUGCUAUUUGUUUCAUUUUCAAACAAUAAUCUUCUACAUUUAGUGAAUCUUUUCUCAAAACACUCAUCUCAUAUUUGAGUUGAAGAACUCUAGCUUCAGAUUUUGCACCAAACUUUUUCUCCAAUGUUUUCCACACAUCAUAUGCAGUAUUACAAGAAUGAACAUGACUGAGAAUACCUUCAGUGAUUGAGCUUAAUAGCCAGCUUAGUAAUGUCUGAUCCUGUGACCUCCAGAUUAUAUAUUCUGGAUUUUCAACUUGUUGUGUAACUCUUCCCAUUGUUUCAGCAUAGCUUCCUGAAGUAAGAAAUUGAGUAGGUGCUGCCUUUUCUCCAUUGAUGUAGCCUUCAAGUCUGUUUCCUCUUAUAGAAGCUAAUACUUGAUUUCGCCAGAGCAUAUAAUUGGAUCUAUCCAAUUUGAUUGGCGUAAUGAAUGAGAAGGUAGUUUGUAUUGAUUGAUUCAUGUUUGUUGUGUUUGGAUUUGUGUUUAAAUUGCUUGAGCUUACCAUAUUUCUGGCUCUGAUACCAUGUAAAAAUGAGUUGCAAAUACUGUUUGGUUACUGAGAAACAGAGAGAAAAUUGAUAAAUAUUCUAGAUCUUAUUAUUUCAUUAAUUACAAAUGAGUAAAUCACAAGUCUUUAUACUUGCAUUUCAUUAGUAAAAGCUAUUAACGAAACUGAUCUGUAUUAACUAACUAAUACUAACUAACUAAUCACGCGAACUCUCAUUGCUGCAUAACAGAAUCAGCUGACUCAGCAUUGUUGACGUGGCAUUGCUGACGCACCUUAGCUUCUGACUUCUUCUCUCUUCUCAGCUCAGCACAAUGAGCUUUCUUCACAAACCAGAGUUAUAGGAUGGCUCAAGAUUUCUUCAAUGCACAUAUUACCCCUUUACAGGUAAUUAUAAUUAAUUAAGUUCUCGAUUACCAUUAAUUUUAUUUUAUUUUUUUCCAUUAAUUUCUAGAAAUUAAGAUUUAUUAGAACUCUAAAGUUAAAUUCUGAUUAAAAUUUUAAUUUUUAACGUACACAUUCCUCUUUAUAAUUAUGACCGUACGUAAUUUUAUAGCAGAGGAUAAUUCCUACCCAUUAAUUAAGCUAACCCACACGCCCAUGGAACAAUGAAGAAGUAGCUAAUAAAGUAAAAACACUGUAUUAGAUUCGGAAAACCAAGUUUCAAAUCUUCUUUUCAAAAAUAUUCUUCGUCUUUAUCUUUAUUGCGUGCCUUUGUGCUUUUUUUUUUCUAUUUAUUUAUUUUUCUUGUUUACAGUCUGGAUGUUGUAAGCCUCCGACAGAGUGUGGUUACACAUUUGUAAACCCAACAUAUUGGAUAAGUCCAAUUAACAACGCGGCGGACAUGGAUUGCCUACAGUGGAGCAAUGACCAAAUGCAGCUUUGCUAUAAUUGUGAUUCAUGCAAAGCAGGAUUACUUGCUAAUCUGAAAAAGGAGUGGAGAAGAGUAGAUAUCAUAUUACUCGUUACUCUUGUUGCUUUGAUAUGGGUUUAUCUGAUUGGAUGUUGUGCUUUUAGGAACGCCAAAACUGAAGACCUCUUUCGCAAGUACAAGCAAGGCACUUACACGUAAUUGUUAGCUGCACGUAAACUCUCUUUGAUAGUAAUAUUAAUGUGUAAUUAGGGACUGGCUUGAAUUGUUAUUUUGAUAAUUUUAUGAAUUUUUUGUUUAAGAUCCGUCUUCUUGGUUACUUACAUUUGGUUAAAUUAUGUGUGGGGUUUGAUUUGAUGACGACAUAAUCUUGAGUUGUGCGUGCGUGAUUUGUGGAGGGCGCCGAAAGUAGGUGGCUUUUGAAUAUUUGCUUUUUAAGGAGAAGGGAUUUCGCACUUCCGCUCCCUGCUUGCUCGCAUAGGGCAUUAAUUGUAGCUUUGAAAAAAGUUCUGCUUCAGCAUGCGCAAAAGUCAAAGAAAUGGGACAUGUGCUCAUGCAUUAUGCAGCCAGCAUAUGGGUGAUAGCAGACGUAUUUAAUCUUUUAGUCUUUGUUGACAACUCAGCCUCUCUCUCUCUCUCUCUCUCUCUCUCUCUCUCUCUCGCUGUGUCUCUGCGUCAGGGAUCUGAUUUGUGGGAAGAUAGAUAUCGGUUUAAAAGGUUUUCAUAUGCAUCCUUGGAACUUUGUAAGGUUUACAUGGAAAUUUCUUCCUCUUCCAGUGGCCGUCGAGAACUCUUUGCUGCUGAGAUGCACCUGAAGAACGUCCUUAAACAAGUAAAACACCUUAUAAUUCGAUAUUUAAGACACUUACAGUUGGUUUAAAGAUUGCAUUUUCCGUUUCUGUUUUUGACUGGUUCAGGGUAAAACUUUUUCUCACUGUGUUAGAGUGCAUUUCUGUUAUUAUAUAGUACCUGUCAAAAUUUUCCAUUCCAAUUAGUUACAGAGUGAAUUCUGUAAGGUGUGGCGCCCCCUUGAAGGCCAGGAGAGCCGUGUUUAGGGCUUAUCACCCCUCCAAGGUGUAAUCCCUUGUAUCCCUGUAGCUUAUACCAGAGGUCCGGAGUACUGCAGACUUGUGGAGAUACGGGGCUAUGAGUUUCCAUCUUUCGGACAUCACAACACUUGUUCUGGAGAAAUUAUGGGUUUAUUUCAGAACAGAGGAAGGUUACUUCAUUAAGAGGAAUGAGAGAUUUACAAUACACUAGAUUUAGGCUCCAAGACUCGAUGCCUAGAUACAAACCAAGGGUUCCCUUUUAUAGGCACAAGGGAACCACUAUUACACACUGUAGUCAUUAUUGAUCCUUAUCUCUAAGGAAUCUAUUUUACAACUCACUCCUUACUUUAUGUCACACUCAUACUCUCAUCCUUAUCACAAAGGAUGGUACACAAUACAUACGAAUACAAAUACAUAUAUUAUUAUUAUUAGAGAUACAAAUACAUAUAUUAUUAUUAUUAAAUAUACAAAUACAUAUACGAAUACAAAGGAUGGUACACAAUACACUCUGAUAAUAAUAAUAUAUGUAUUUGUAUUCGUAUGUAUUGUGUAUCAUCCUUUGUGAUAAGGAUGAGAGUGUGAGUGUGACAUAAAGUAAGGAGUGAGUUGUAAAGUAGAUUCCUUAGAGAUAAGGAUCAAUAAUGACUACAGUGUGUAAUAGUGGUUCCCUUGUGCCUAUAAAAGGGAACCCUUGGUUUGUAUCUAGGCAUCGAGUCUUGGAGCUUAAAUCUAGUGUAUUGUAAAUCUCUCAUUCCUCUUAAUGAAGUAACCUUCCUCUGUUCUGAAAUAAACCCAUUUUGGUAUCAGAGCCAUAUUUCCCAAAAGGAAACCCCUGGGUGUGCAACAAUAUUAUGCUCUGUGGUUGCCGAAACACUUCGGAUCCUCCACAUCAGAAAGUUGUUGAAUACUGAUCUACCUGUCAAAAUUUUCCAUUCCAAUUAGUUACAGAGUGAAUUCUGUAAGGUGUGGCGCCCCCUUGAAGGCCAGGAGAGCCGUGUUUAGGGCUUAUCACCCCAAAGAAAACCCUUUGUUUUCUCUUAGCCAUGGAAAACUCAAACAGUAAUAGAUCUGGAAACCAAACAGUUUCUGACCAAGGAUCCACUUCGGCUAUCAGAGUUCUAACUGAUAGUUCACCCUCUAUAAACUUCCAUUACGAAACCCAAGAGGAUGAAAGCAGUGAGAGAGCGGUUCAGUCCUUUAGACUUGAUCCGUUAGAUCCCUAUAGAUACUACCAUAUCAAUUCUACUCUUAAUCAAUUAAGAGCCAUAAUUCCUAUUAGACAACCCAAGCUUAAAACCAUCUAUAAAUCCUCUGAGAUUACUGUCCAGUUCAUCUCCUCCAGUUCUAAAGAAACAUACCUUCCUAUAAUCUCUACCAAUGAGGUUACAAGGUAUAAGCUACAGGGAUACAAGGGAUUACACCUUGGAGCAAUCUAGAUAGGAAUACAACCAUUGUUCCUAGCUGGAAAAGAUAUCACAUGCUUCAUUGCCAUCCUUGACACUAGAUGGCAAACUUUUGAGAAAGCCUUGAUCACUGCUGUCGAAGCAGGACUCAACCAAGGUCAUGUUGUUCUCCAAGUUGAACCCAACUUCACCCUUGACAUACACAAGCCAUUUCUCACAGAUGCCAUUAAGGUAUUAAUUCAGGUCAAUGGUCUAACCAUAAAACCUGAUGAAUCUGCCUUGGCAAUUCACCACACCAUGACCUAUAAAGUCCAAACCCAUCUGUUCUCUAUGAGCAGCUCUGGCAGGCCCAUUACCAGAUUUCUUGCUGGUGAUGGCAGAGUCUUUCAACCUCGGACUUAUAGGCAAAAUCAGCUCAUUUUUCUACCUCAAUGGAUCAAUGAGUAUGAAAAAAACAGCAAGCCUCAACAAAUCCAUGAGGUUCCAAAGAUAAGCCGGUUACAAGAAGGAAGGGUAUCAGUCUCUUUUCCCACUGAGACUAAAGCCCUCUAUCCAUGUGAAAAAUGCCAGCUUGAAGGAAGGCAUCCCUCCUUGUGCACUCAUAUGCCAAGAAGAAUCACCUCCUGCAGAAUCAUGGGUCCAAUUAACAUGAUCACCACUCCGGAUCUUGAUAAUGAAUUCCUCAAGGAUAUUCCUGGAGGAAUGUAUGUUGCCAAAUGGGUAAUACAAAAAACCAACCCAACUGAAUUUGGCCCAAUUGAGAAGGCGAUCAACUGGUCAAACAUCAAUGCUGUUGAACAGAACCAAGCGUUGGGAGACAUCAUGGUUACCCAACAGCAAAUUCUUGCUGACUUAGCUGUUAUCAGAAAACAGCUAAAGAAAACCAGAAAACAGCAUAAGGUGACUACCCAGCAGUUUUCCCAAAUGCAUGACAGUGCCUCCAGAUCUAUCAACAUGAUCGUAAUGACCGGAGCUGCAGAUGAGGACGGAAUGAGAAGAACCAGAGAAAGCUAUCAAAGGACAAAAGUGUCCAGGCACUGGAAGAGCAAGCCCACAAAGCCAUGGCAUGUCUGGGAAGAAAAUGCAUCUGGCAACUGUCAAAAGGCAUUUUGGAGAAGCUAUGCUCCACCUCCACAAUAUCCAUGGCCCACUAAGGCUACAGGAUGGGAUGAGGAUAAAGAUACGGAUACUGAAACAAGUAUCUCCUCUGAUGACCAGAUCCCUCUUAUACCAAUUCUUAUGCAAAGAGCAAAUCCUCCAAAUCCAUUCUAUGUGGAUACUCGAGCUAGAUUUGCAGCAUCCACACCAACACAGGGUCAAACCUCUGAUCCUACAAGACAAGAGCAAACUCAACACCCAUCAGGAACAACCCAGUUCACUGCCCCAGAAUUCGCUAAUCCUGCUGCCCAACCAGAAGCAUCUGGAGUAGAAUCCACAAAUCAAGAAGACAGGGCACCACAUAUUGAUGAGGUAAAUCAGGGAGACGAAUGGGAAACCCGUGUCCAACUUGGGCAUUCUACGACGGGAAAAAUGUUCUGGAACAUCGAUAGAAUGAAGCCAAAAGAAAUAUUGGCUUACUUUGAAAAGAUGGUAGCUUGGUAUGAAGGAGAAUGCCAACGAACUCCCCAGUUGAGCAGAAGAUCGGCAGCAAUGAGACUUGUUGCAGGAUUCGUUGGAUCAUUGAGAAGAUGGUGGGGAAGAAAGCUCAGCAGAGAACAAAAGGAAUUCAUACUCAGCAGAGAAGACCCUUGUGGAAGCUUGGUAGAAAAUCUAUCCUUGGAUUUUCUCGGCCAACACACAAGAGAAGAAGAAGUAGCUGAAAAACAAUUUCUCCAGAACAAGUGUUGUGAUGUCCGAAAGAUGGAAGAGUACUACCUAGAGCAAGAAAGGUUGUACUACAUCUUUGACAAACAAACUGACACCAUCCACAGAACAUUCGUGCUAAACAUGCCAGGCCCAGUAGCGGAAAUGAUGGAGGCUAAAUUCAAAGCUGAUGCAAUUGUUGAUUUAGCACAGCUUAGCCUUGCUCAGCUCUAUCAGAUAUCUAUGGAGCUGAUCCAAAGUCAUUGCAGAUCUCAAGACUUAAGAAGGCACAUGAAGCAGAUUGAGAAAUCCUCUCUGCAAAAAUUCUGUAAUGAGGAACCAAACAAAUUUGGUUGCCACCAUACAGACAAAAUGUGCUCUUGCAAGAACAACAGGCAGAAAAGGCCAAAGAAACCCUGGAAGCCCUACAAAGGAAAGAAAUACCGUUUCAUCAAAAAACGAAAACAAAAGAAAGGCUCGGGGAGAUGUUUCAUUUGCGGAAAGAAAGGUCACUAUGCCAAACAGUGCAAAUCCAAGAAAAGACUUCCAGCAAAACUUCUCCAGAUGAUCCAGCAGGAAGAUUUUGAUGAUGACAUCUAUACCUGGUCAGAUAGCCCUACGGUGUUGUAUACACAAUGGAUAAAUAUCCUCUUUCAGACGACGAUGAUACAGAUUCUCUUUCUAGCACUGACAGUGAUUCUGAUGAUGAUCCUGUCAUGACCAUCCAUGAGCCUCUCCAAGCUAACCUGGCAAUGGCCCCUGCCUCUCUCUUCAGACCACAUAUAAAGGUUAUCCUCAACCCAUCUGAGGAUAAACAGGUAGCACUCACUGCUCUUAUUGACACUGGAGCAAUGUGCUCAUUCAUUCGAGAAGCUUGUGUUCCUUCCACCUUUUAUGUUCCUACUAAGGUCUCGUUUGGCUCCGCUAGUGGAAGUAACUUCUCCAGUAAAAAGAUUACCCGGCCUAUAGAAAUCCAGCCCUUUAUGAUAAGGCAUGGCUUCUUUGCCUUUGAUUAUUCAGGCGAAGAUAUCUUGCCAGGCACCGACUUUUUAAGUCUGAUUGCCCCUUUUGCCUUCUUUCCCGAUGGCUUCUCUUAUACCAUUCGGAAUCCUCACACGGGCACCACUAACACUUUCUGGGUACCCUGGGUUGAAAAACAAUCCAUUUUUGGGGAGGGUGGAAAACUACAAAAUUACACCAUCCAUAAAUAUGAACCCCAAAUUAAAGAACUCCUUGAAUGCUGUGCAGAAGUGCCAAACCAGUUUUGGGCUAGAGAACAACAUUUUGUGUCUCUACCAUACAAGGAUGGAUGGACCAUGCCUCACCAGACGGCCUCUCAUCCAGGCAUUCCUCAUGACGAAGAACUAUGCAAAACAGAGAUCCAGGCUCUUAUGGAUCUAGAGCUCAUCAGGCCCUCUAAGUCUCAUUGGGCUAGCCCAGCAUUUUAUGUCAACAAGCAUUCAGAACAGAUACGUGGAAAAAAGCGAUUGGUAAUUCACUACAGAAAACUGAAUGAUUGCUUGCAGGACAUAAGAUACCCCAUUCCACGGAGGACACACAUUUUAAAACGCAUUGCUGGUGCAAAAGUGUUUUCAAAGUUUGACAUGAAGUCAGGCUUUUGGCAAAUUGGGAUUAAAGAAGAAGACAGACACAAGACAGCAUUUGUGGUCCCCCACGGGCAUUAUGAAUGGAAUGUGAUGCCUUUUGGCCUAAAGAAUACACCGUCAGAAUUCCAAAACAGAAUGGAUGAGGUGUACAAAUCUAUCUCAGGAUUUUGCCUUAUCUACAUUGACGAUGCUCUUAUCUUCAGCAACAGUGAAGAAGAACAUGCUGAACACCUGUCCCAAUUCAAGGCACUAACCUAUAAACAUGGGUUAGCUUUGUCAGAAUCCAAAAUGAAGAUAGGCCUUGAUGAGGUGGACUUUCUAGGAUUACACAUCAAGCAGAGAUUCAUCAUUCCUCAGCCACAUAUAGCUGAAAAAAUAUCCCAAUUCCCAGACCAGCUGUCAACCAGAAAGCAGAUCCACCAGUUCCUCGGGAUAAUCAACUAUGCAGCAGACCAUGUGCAGGAUCUGUCAAAGAUGACGAGAGUCAGAUAUCAAAGCACUUAAAGAAGAGUGCCCCACAAUGGUCGGAAGACGCAACAAAAGCAGUGACAGACUUAAAGCAAAAGUGCCAGUCACUUCCACCAUUAAAGAUACCUGACAAGGGACAGCUCAUCCUCCAGACAGAUGCAAGUGACCAUUAUUGGGGAGCACUGUUGAUAGAGGAAUCCGAGGGAAACAGAAAAGUGUGUGGCUAUAAAUCAGGCCAGUUCAACGAUGCUCAAAGCCACUACCCCUCCUCCAAAAAAGAAGUCUUAGCAGUUGUCAAAGGGAUCAAAAACUUUCAAUUCUUUCUUUCACUAACUCCCUUUGUGAUUGAAACAGACUACAAAUACCUACAGGGAUUACUCAGGAGAAAAGAAGGAGAAAUACCAGAUCCACAGCUUGCAAGGUGGUCUGAGUCUCUCUCGAGAUUCAAGUUUGAAGUAAAGCACAUCAAAGGAGAAUCCAACACUGUUGCGGAUUUCCUUUCCAGACCGAUCACCAUGAUCAAAAGAAGAAGCCUUCCAAAAAGAUGGGACGAAGGCAGUUCUAGUGCUCACGCAGCCCGAGCACACUUUCUCAAAGAUCUUAACAUCUUCAUUGCUUGGCUUCCUUCGGAAGUUCAAGAUGACAUCUUUGAGAAAGUCAUCUGCCACAAAAGAGAUCCAGAAGAUCAAGCUCUGACAUGGCGGGUAUGGCAGCUCAUGGCCAUGCAGGAACACAGACCUGCCCAUAACAAACAAUGUCAAAGAGCUUUUGAUCCACAUCCAAAUCCUGACCAGAUGCAUGAAACGGUCUUCAAGGUCGGUUGCACCUUCCACUAUGUAAUAGACGAGAACUCCAACUGGGGUCACUAUGUUAUCUGCGAUAUAACCCCUCAAGCCUAUUACAUAACUUGGUACUGGCCCAACAUUUACCCAGUGGCAAUCCUGUUUGAACCACAUCUGAUCCAUACCAGCAGGAGAUAUGGGAAGGGAAGAUGGUUCGACCGAAUGUUCGCUCCUAUCUUCGAAGACAUCCUAACACUCCGGCUAAUCAACGGAUAUCACAUCACUCACUCUACUAUAGUGAUUGUGAAACUCACAGAUAUCUGGGGAAGAUACAAGCAGCCUCUUGUGCAGGUGGUCCAGCAUGACCUCAACCAUGAAGAAAUUGAUUCCAUGUGGACAGGCUGUUGGAAUGCUAGAAAAGCUUUAGCUGAGGUAUACGGAACUAUUCCAAUGUAUAAUACUCAUAGCCCCGUAUCUUCACAAGUCUGCAGUACUCCGGACCUCUACUACAGAGAGGAGAUCAGGAAUCUCAAGCUUCAUGGAGAAGAAGAUGAAGCAGCAGACUUGCAGCAGUGGUAUAAUGAUUACCUCACUCGCCAUGGCAGGCCAAAAGAAGUCACUUAUCUGGACACUCCAGAUAUUGAAAGAUGGAGGAACGAGCUUGAAGAAAUGGCCCAUUGGCUAGACCUCCAAGAUUGGCCCCAACCUGAGUUAGACCCCCAGCCGGAUAACAUUGAAGAUCCCAUAUGGCCAAAUAUGGGAGAAGAUAUGGAUGCAGCAUCCGAAGAACGAUGGAACCACAGGUCAGGACGUAGCACACCAACAAGUGGCAACUCUGGACUAUAGCGGAAGCUUAGUGGACCCUACAGUGGAAGCAAUGGUGAUAAUAAUAUAUGUAUUUGCAUUCGUAUGUAUUGUGUACCAUCCUUUGUGAUAAGGAUGAGAGUGUGAGUGUGACAUAAAGUAAGGAGUGAGUUGUAAAGUAGAUUCCUUAGAGAUAAGGAUCAAUAAUGACUACAGUGUGUAAUAGUGGUUCCCUUGUGCCUAUAAAAGGGAACCCUUGGUUUGUAUCUAGGCAUCGAGUCUUGGAGCCUAAAUCUAGUGUAUUGUAAAUCUCUCAUUCCUCUUAAUGAAGUAACCUUCCUCUGUUCUGAAAUAAACCCAUUUCAUGGUUAGACCAUUGACCUGAAUUAAUACCUUAAUGGCAUCUGUGAGAGAUGGCUUGUGUAUGUCAAGGGUGAAGUUGGGUUCAACUUGGAGAACAACAUGACCUUGGUUGAGUCCUGCUUCGACAGCAAUGAGAAGAAAAUGCACUUUUUGGAAUCUCAGGCUGAAGGAUUUUUGGUGCUUUAACUAAUCUCAUUUGACAAUGUAAAUAUAUGGCUUCAAUUUCUUUAAAUGUAAUAGCAAGUGUUGUUUUCGACCUCUGUUCUUUUAUGCAUUGCUUACAUGCCGUGAUUUCAUUAACCUAAAUUUAAGAACUGUUUGAGGGAAAUACAUCGAGGAGACCAGACGUGAUGAGCAGGUGUUUGGUGGUGGAGUUCUGCGAGCAGGAAUAUUCUCCUCGUCCACGAAUAUGCCAUUCGCGAGACCGAAUUCAUGUUAGAGGCAUAAGGUCAUUCCUGCUAAGGGUCGAGGCGAGGAGACCCGGUCAACGGCAGUUGGCAAGACGUGCCUUCCUAUCCGAGAAUCAAGGCACGAGGUCCAUCUCCAUUUGCCCACAAUGACGACAAUGGGGCAUCCACAUCCGAGGGUGGGGAGAAUAACGGGCGUAAACUGCGGAAGAUCGGGACUCAGAGGAAGCCUAUAAAAAGGUAGCCAACAAAGGUAAAAGGGUUAGAUUUUUUGCUAUUUGAACUAAGAAAAUAGAGAACUCGAAGGUCUGAGAUUAGUGAAAAGCCAUAAGAUCCGUGGCAAGCAUUCCCAGAACCUUCAUAUCUGACUUGAGCGUCGGAGGGUUUACGCCGGGAAAACAACCGGCGUGCUCUGACCUGUUUCUGUGGACGCAAGGAUACUUAGAGAAGAAAGCGUACGAGGAGAGAUCCUGAUCGAGGUGAGGUUGAUCGAGCAGACAUCCUGGUCGUUGGAAGGUGUAACCAGAAUCUCGCAUCAACAAGAACAAUUUCAUAUAAUUUUUUUUCUGCUUUUCUUUUAUCAUUUAAAAACAAUACUACGCACACACACACGCAUAUAUUUCAGAAAGCAUUUAAACAAAGCAACCGAACGUUGCUGGUUUCUAUUAUUACAUCGACAACAAUAAAGCAAAGAAGCAACUGAAAGUUAUCUUCAUAUGAGAAUGAAAGCUUUUCAGCAGCAUAAACCUUUCACUAUUCAAUUCCAAACAUGUUCCUCAACAUGAUAACAAAUUCGUAGACCUUUUCUAGGUCUAGAAGGAUCCUGGCAACAGUAUCUCUUUGCAUGCACUUGUUCAUCCAUGCUGAGAAUUUGGGGCACUCAUUCUCAAGCUUAAAUCCCCCAAAUUUCUCAACCGCGUAAAACCAACAAGUCAGUGGAAUGGAAAUGACAUCAACGAAUCCAAAGCUAUCCCCGCCAAAGAAAUCCUUCUCCCCUAAAGCGCCCUCAAGUUGCUUCAAAAUCUCUAUAAAUUCAUUCUUCGCGGUCUCUGGGACCUCGCCCUUGCUUUUCCAUAUGUUGCAUACUGCAUCGAAUACCUGCCAAAAAAGUGGUGUCAUCUUUUAAGUUCACAUUUAGAAAGAUACAAACAUUUACACUUGAGAAUUAUAGACUGACCUUCUUGUCAAUAAAAUCUUGCCUUAGCUCUCUCAUAAGCACAGGAUGGGAGAAGUGGUGGCGAAGGCCAAGUCUCGUCAAUGUAGUUAACUAUAAUAGUGGAUUCACACAAUGGUUUCCCAUCGUGCAGCAAAACUGGGACUUUCUUGUAGAUGGGUUUGAUUUGAGCAACAGGUCACUCUUGCCCCCAAACAAGUUCUCAGCUCUGGCUUCAUAUUCAACUCCUUUCUCAGCCAAUGCAAUCUUUGCUCUCAAGCAAAAUGGGCUAGCCCAACAAUCCAAAAGAACAACCUCUCCCUUCGACAUAUUCACUUUCUUUGUUCUUGUUUCUUUUACUUGGUUGAUAGUAAUUAAACCUUGAGUAUCAAGGUUGGCAUUUAUAAAGGAUAAAAGAUGAAAUUCCCAAAGUUUGUGUCGCAAUCAACGUUUGUUCGUUGGCACUUCCUUAAAGGAUGUGGCAUUAUUCUUAUCAUUUCUUAGUUUUUGAAGCUAACUGUUUUACUUGGCUUUCAACAUGCACAAGAACAAGUUUGUCUUGUGCAUACGGAGUUUACUAUGGACAAGCCGAAUUGUAAGUAACCAUUUACACUAAUCAAUCGGUAUUGUCCAAUGAAAAUAAGUAAUGUAAACUUAUCAAAAAAAAAAGUAAUGUAAAAAGUGUCUAGGAUUUUGCCUAAUAUUUCUUAAAAUAGGCUAAUUAAGCCCAAUUCUGGUGCUAGAUUGGUUCAACUUUGAAUCAAACUUGGAAACAUUUUGCUUUAGAUUAUUAUUAUUAAUUUAGAAGAGUCAAAAAGCUAAGAGUAUCGUUGGUAAAGCUCAAACAUGUGUAAUAUCACAUAUUACUUCUUUUUUUUUUUUAUACAAGUAAUAUCACAUAUUACUAGUGAGUGAGUUUCAUAAACUUUCCUAUUGAAAAAGACACAUUUUGGGUUGUAAAUCCUAACACAAUAUUUAUUCAGUUGUUGAGCCUGAAAUAUUACAGAUAUAUCAAAUAUUAUUUGAUGUGGGCGCACAACCCUGCGUCUUCUUAAUUAGGACAACCAAUGAAACCCUGCGUCUUCUUACAUAACUUGUAUGUACACAUUGGCGGGAUAUCCCAAUUAUGUACUCGUUUGUCUUCAUGUGUUUUAAAAAAAUCUAUUGUAAUGGAUAUAUUGUAAAUUUAUCUAAUUGCUUGUUAUAAUGCUUCUAUUGCGGUGUUAUUCGAGCUGUCAUUUUCAGUUUUAUUUUGUUUUUUCUUUAAACAUAGUUAAUUUGAAAUCCAUUACACUUGAAUCAUCAAAUAAGUGAUUCUCGAACAUAAUUGCUGUUGUUACUCGAAUAAGAAAAGAAAACAAAGUAUAGCUAAGAUAAAAGCAAAUGGAAAUGAGAGCAACGUGAUUUUGCAAAGAGAACUUCACACUAUCAUAAAACCAAAAACAUUAAAAUUUAAAACUUAAAUAACAACACACCAAAGCCAAAUAACGACCCACUAGAAUCAUGGUCCAAAGAUUGUACCAUGAUCACAACAUGAACUACAAAAAAAUAACCAACACCUGAAAAGUAGGAACAGUUUGAAACUUUCAACUAAAGUGGGAAAGACCAGGAUGGCACUGCAUGCCCAGCCCACCAACAUUAAAUGCUUUUUUCCCUUAUAAUUUAUCAGUCACAUAAUUUAGAGUGAAGACUUUAAUGCUGUGUUUACUUGCUGGAGUGGGAGUGAGGAGUGUGGAUUCCUCCCACUCCAGCGUUUACUUUCUCUGAAUGGGAAGGGAGUGGGAAUUCCACUCCGUGGGCCCCACCCAUUUUUGGAGUGGGGAGUGGGAGUGGGACUCCCAUAUUCCCACUCCCACCUCUCCCUUUUUUACCCUUUUAUUUUUUUAAUUUAAUUUAAUUUAAUAUUUUAUAAUUAAUAAAAUAAAAUAAAUAUUAUUAUAUUUAUUUGAAUAAUAAUAUUAUAUUUAACUAAAUAAUAAUUUGCAUUGAUUCUAAGUUAAAAUUAUUUUAAAAUAAUAUUAUUAUAUUAAUAGAGAAUUAAUAAAUAUAAUAUUAUUAUAUUUAUUUUAAAAAUAAUAGUACUAUAUUUAUUUAAUAUUAAUAAAUAGUUUAUUCUAAGAAAAUAUUAAUUUUGUACUAAAUAAUAUUAUAUUAUUAUUUUAUAUAAUAAUAAAUUUAAUAUAAUUAUAUUAAAUAAAAUAAGGUUUCAUUUUGUAUUAAAAUUAAUAAUUUAUUGUUGAUAAUUAAGAAUAUUAAUAAUUAUAAUAAAUUUACAAAUAUAAUAAAAUAAAUAUUAUUCAUUAAAUAUAUUUUUUAUUAGUUUUGUAAUUAAAAAUUAUAAUUCUUUAAAUAAGAAUAAAAUUGUAAUUUGAAACUAUUUACUCCCAAUCCAAGACAAAGUAAACACAUAAAUUGGAUUUUGAUCUCUAUUCCAUGCUUCCAUUCCAGUGUAAGUAAACAACCUACUCUCACUCCCACUCCACACUCUCAAUCCUAGGAUUUCCACUCCUCAGGAUUCCCAAUCCAAUCCAAAAAGUAAACGCUACCUAAAAGCAAAUAAAUGAAUUGGCUGAAUCUAGCUAGGAUGCCAGGAUGGGCACGGAUCCACAGAUAACAAGUAACAGUCUUUAAAUCUUCUGUUGUAAGUUCUUACGCCCCUUUUUUUUUAUACGACGAACCCCCGAUUCUACCCUCCAAAAUCAACAAUAGAGAAUUUAGUCUUAGCCUCUCAAGAUGCACUCAAACCUAAGGAUGGCAAUGGAUCAGAUCUGACCCAAGAUCCAUGUGAUCCAAAUCCAAUUGGAUCGAAUUUGGGUCGGAUUAAAAUAGAUUUGGAUCGGAUUUGGAUAUCGAUGCGUGGAUCUAAGGCGGAUCUGGAGCAAAUUCAGAUUUAUCUUAAUAUCUAUAUCCAAAUCCAUAUCCACUCACCAUUUAAUGUAAUUUUAUUUUAAAAAAUUCUUAACAAUUAUGUAAUUAUAAAUGAUGAUAAAAUUUAUUCAUUAGCAUGUAUUUAAGAAUCUUAAAACUUAAAGGUACUUAAUUGAUAAUAAGAUAAAAAUUUAUCAAGUGUAAAAUAAAAUUAGGAUAGUCUGCCCUAAUUUUUUUAAGUUUUUCACUCUACAAUUUAGUCUCUUUUUUCCUCUUUAGUCUACUCUCGCUUCUCCACUUCAUUUGAAUGCUUGGAUCAGUUCUUUAAUUGUUAGGAAAAUCCAUAGACUUGAGUUUAUUUUUCUAUCAUUUUCUCAUAAUCUUAUUUAUUUUGUAUAAUCACUAAUCAAUGGUGGCUAUCAACUAUAAAAUAAUUAUGUUAAUCAUAUAUUUAGUUAAAUAUGAUCAUAAUAAAAAUAAUAAAGCACUGAAUAUAAUAAAUCAUUUUUAACUUAUAUGUUAUUAUUUAAUGAUAUAGGAAUGAUGAUGGUGUGCAGUGGAUAUCAAGAUAGUAAAUGAGACAUUAGAAUAUUAUAAUGAUCUUAUUCAUGCAAUUACUUUUUAUCGAUAUUUUAUUAUCUUUUUUAUUUGUUUAUUUUGGUGUAAAAGCAGAAGCUACAAUACUUAUUAGAUUUUUUGUACAAAUUAUAUAAUUUAAUUGUUACCAAUGCAUUUUAGUCUUAAAUUUUUUUUCUAAAAAAAAUUGAUCUCUUAUUAUUGAGAUUUAGAAUUCAUGAUGGAUCUAGAGCAUAUUUAGAUUGUAAUUUUUCAAUUUGGAUUUGGAGCAGAUAUAGAUCUUUAUUUUUGUUUCGAAUCUAGAUAUGGAGCGAAAAUAUAGAUCCAUAACGGAUCUGGAGCAGAUACAGAUCUUAAUUUUUAUUACGGAUCUGGAUAUGGAGCAAUGUAGAUCCAAUCCAUAUCUGCUCCAUUGCCAUCCCUACUCAAACCUUGAGUAUGGUUUUUACUUACGUAUUAUCGAUUAUGAUUUUAACUAAUCUCUCUUGUCAACGAACUUUUGGUUGAUUAUGGACGCCUUUUUUUUUUUAAUCUAAACAAUAUAAGAUUUCGUACAAAUUGAAUUUGUAUAGACCUCAUCAUUUGGAACUUGUGUUGUAUCCAAAAAUAUCACCCAACCCAAAGAAAAUAAGUUCAAUUCUAUAACUCAUUCAUUUUUCUUAUAGCCCAAUGGAUUGAGAGAAUAGGCGUCAGAGGAAACUUUAUUUCAAUAUAUAAAUAUAGGCUUGCAUACAAUGCAAAAUCAUAUAUUCGAACCAAUAGGCGAAGCAUUGUCCCUCGUUGAUCCACAUGAGCCAACUAGUCAAAGUGGAUCCACAUGAGCCACUUUACAGACUGGGCAUGCAUUGCAACUGUUCAUUUUUGCUUCUGCCAAUAAAGAGUUGAUAGUAACCAAAGAUUGUAUUCUUUAUUGUCAUUUGAGAGUAACCAAUUACUUAGGCAGUCACGUAAGUUGCUGGUUGGCCUCGCACAUUUUUGACCAGCUUGUUUCUGAAGGAAACCAGCUGAGCUGCAACCUCUUCCAUGCUCAUUCGUUCUCUCGGCAACUCUGAAGAGCAAGUGACUCCGAUUGCCAGUACUGAAACCAAGCACUCUUUAACACUAAAACUUCUGGUCCAUUGUUUGUGAGCAUUGGCCUUGCUUGUCUCCCCUUCUUCUCUUUCUACAAGAAGCACUGGAUCAACAAUUUCAGCGAGUCUUUCAGGAAGAGCUUCCUUGACAAAAUUAUGUAGGGUUAGAUUGCCUGUAAACAUCUCAUUCGUCGGCCCCUUUCCUGUAAACAUUUCCAGCAAGAGUAUUCCAAAACUGUACACAUCUCCACUUGUUGAGACUUCGCUCCCCAUUCCGUACUCUGCAAUUCGAAAACUAAAAUUGUUGGUUCAACUAGUAAAAUCUCUAAGGAUUGAAAGACAAGUUAAUUAAAUUAUUGUAUUUACCUGGUGCAGCAUAACCAACGGUUCCUUUUACUCCAACAGAGCUUGAUUGAUUAGAUGACAAGUUAUUGGUGGCUUCCGGAAGGAAUUUUGCUAAUCCAAAAUCACCUACAUGGGCAGUCAAUUCACCAUCCAGAAGAACAUUGCUUGGCUUGAGAUCACAAUGGACUAUUGGAGUUUCGCAAUAAUGAUGAAGAUAAUCCAAUGCGGAAGCAACAUCAACGGCAAUAUUCAGUCUUUGCAGGAGAUUUAAGUUCCUUGGUGCCUCAGCGUUCGGAUGCAACCAUUCCUCCAGGCUCCCGUUGACCAUGAACUCAUAAACUAAAGCCUCGAAAUCAUUUCCUUGGAAGUCAACACUUGCACAGGAAGUUAUUAUUUUGACAAGAUUCCGAUGCCUAAUACUCCUCAAGGCUUGACACUCCGCUAUGAAACUCUUUGAAGCUCCACGAUGCUGAAGAUUAAGUACCUUAACUGCCACCAGCGUUUCAUGAUCAUCGUGACUGAGGAUUCCUUUAUAGACCGAACCAAAGCUACCGGCACCAAUCAAGUUUUCCAAAGAGAACCCAUCAGUUGCUUUGAACAGAUUCUCAUAGGACACUCGUAAAACCGAAGCCAAGAAUGCUGAUGGAGUGGCCGGCUCCCUUUUUGAUUUGCUCCGCCAGGAAGUAAUUAUAAAACACGACAUCCCUGUCACUAACAAAAUUACUGUAACUACAGGAAUCAUCAGUUUCAGGGAACGGGAACGUGACUGCUUGGAUUCUUUGAUGGAACAAGUAGAUAAAUGCAACUCAGAUAUGCCACCACAGAGGUUAUCAUUUCCAUCAAGAGAUAUAGCACUUGAAUUGCUGAAGACUCCUUUUACUGGUACUUCACCCUCAAAAUGAUUAAAAGACAGAUUUAAAUUCUGCAAAAAGGGAAAGUUUUCCAAAUAUUUUGGAAUCCGGCCGGACAAAUUGUUCCGCGAAAGAUCAAGAUUCUCAAUGCCUCUCAAAGAACUGAAUGACGAAGGUAUAUUCCCUUGAAAGAAAUUACCAUUCAUGAUGAGUUGCACCAACAAAAUGCAACUUCCUAAACUACUUGGAAUUUCACCAGACAAUUUGUUCUCAGAUAUAUCUAUAAAACCCAGAUUUUUCAAGAUACCAAAAUUUGAGGGCAUAGGACCAUUCAACUGGUUUUGAGAUAGAUCAAGAUAGAUUGACAAGGAAGAGAGGCCAAUUACUUCAGUGGGUAUGGUACCACUGAGGUUGUUAUUAGAAAGAUUUAAUGAUAUUAAGUUUUGGCAUUUCCCCAGACUUGAUGGAAUGCUUCCCUCUAACAUGUUUUCCUCAAAAUUUAGUGUAGUUAACAAUGUCAAAUUUCCUAUAGAAGAUGGAAUUUCCCCCCAAAACUUGUUCCCCUUCAGGCCCAACCUCUGCAGCUUUUGAAGAUCUCCUAUACUUUCCGGAAUUCGGCCUGUGAAUUUGUUGCCCCCCAGAUGUAAAAGCUCCAAGUUAACAAGAUUUCUUAAUCCACUUGGGAUAUUUCCGAACAACUGAUUGUUUCCAACUGAUAAUAUUGCAAGUCGGUUUGACAAGUUCCCUACUGUUUCAGGUAACAUUCCACCAAAAUUGUUAUCACUAAUUUGCAGUAGCUCUAGUCUAGAAGCGUUAACCAAAGAAUUGACAAAUUCCAAGUUAUCUUUUUCCCCAUAAUUUCCUAAGUGAUUCUGAGAAAUACUAACCCAUUGGAGUUUAUGUAAAUUUUCCAAACUAGGCACCCUUCCACUGAAUCCAUUCUUUGCGAUUGUAAGUCUCAUUAGAUUUGAGGCAUUGGAUAUUGAAGCCGGAAUAGGUCCGGUAAACUGAUUACCACCAACGUUUAGUACUUCAAGUUUAGGAAGAGUGAAGCCUAAGUCUGAUGGAAGGCUUCCUUGAAGUUGGUUAAAAGGAAAAUAAAAACCACUAAGCCAAGACAAGUUGUAGAUUGAAAAGGGGAUUUCACCUGAUAGCUUAUUUGCUCCAAACGAUAUAUAACGCAUCAUCUUAAGCUCGCUCAGGGUUUCAGGAAUUUGUCCCACAAAUUGAUUUGCAGCUGCUGAGAGGACCUGGAGUGAUGACAAAUUGCCGAAGGAAGGUGGGAUUUCUCCUGACAAAUUGUUGGAGUGUAUUACGAGAAUCCGGAGCUUUGGUAAGGAGCCCAGUUUCCCUGGAACUUUCCCCACUAGCUCAUUGAAGUCUAACCAGAGGGAUUCAAGGUUAACGCAAUGCGAUAUGUUGUCAGGAAUUUGACCUCCGAAUGUAUUGUUGUCCAGCCUUAAAAUUCGUAACCUGAACAGAUAUCCAAUCGCUUGAGGGAUUUCGUUGCGGAGGCUAUUGUUUUUUAGAUCUAACACUCUGAGAAAACUCAAAUUACCAAUGUGAGGCGAAAGAGACCCCUGCAAGAGUAAAGAUGGAAGACGUAAUCCAGUCACCCUUUGGUGCCGUCGACUGCAAGUGACACCUUUCCAUUGACAAAAGUGCCUGGAAUAGUUCCAUGAACUCAAAACCUCAAGAGGGUCAUGAGUAACUUUGGCCUUGAAUUCAAGCAAUGCAAGUUGAUCAGUUUCAUUGCUUUUGAGCAUAUAAUCGGUUGACUGCAAGCUGAAGCUGACGCAACAGAAAAUAAAGAAACAAAUGCUUACAAUGAUUGAACUCAUCAUGUUUACAAAAUCCAUUUAACUGCCGAAAGGAAAUUAAAAUGAUAAAACUUUUAUAGAGGUUGGUAAGAUAAACUAUGUUUGUAUAUUUUUUGCAAUGAUUUAUGGACUCUGUACUUGAUGCUCAAAUGUGAACCGGCUGGCACCGUGACAGUGAAACUAAUGCUUUUUAUUUUUCUAAUAAUAUUAAUUAUCAAAUUUAUUACUAUUGUAAGAAUAAUAUAAUACAGCUUUUCCUUUAAGGAAGACCCGCCACACUAACUUUUGACGCUCUAUCAGUUUCCAGUAUUUUGUCAUUUUGUAUUGUAGUGCUUAAUCCACAAUGAAUAUAAAACAAUUUAAUCAACAUUAUUAGAAAAAGAAAAAAAGUAGGAGAAGAAAGUUAAGUAUGAUGGAUGGAGGGUCAGAUUACUGUUAAAUGACUUAAAGGUUUAAAGCACCACAGGAAUCAACGUUUCACAACGCUUUUUUCCCUUUCUGAAAUAUUCGGUGCAUUAGUUGACUAGAAUUAUAAUAUAUCAAACAACUACAAGAAAUAUUUUAAUUUAUCAUUUUACUAUUAUAUAUUUACAUAACUUAUCAUUUUACUAUAUUUCCGUAGUACCAUUAGUUGACUAGAAAAAUGUUAAUUUUACUUUUGAAAAAAAACACAAAUGGAUAUAUUAAAUAUUUUUAGCUACUUUUUAUUUUGAAUUUAUAAUGUUGUAAUACUUUGUGUUAUUAUUACUUUUUAUUUUGCAAAAACAAAUUAUAUAAAGAGAAAAAUUAAUAUUUUAUCAAUUAACUAAUUGAUCUAUAUUAAUUGAAAUAUAAUAAAUUAAUAUUUUAUCAAUUAACUAAUUGAUCUAUAUUAAUUGAAAUAUAAUAAAAUAAUAUUUUAUUUUUAAAUAUAAUAAAAUAAUUUUCCCAUGAAAGAAAAUGAUGAGUUGUUUCAACGUAAUGCAGCUGCCUAGACUACAUGGAAUUUCACCAGGCAAUGACAAUUUAUUCUCAGAUAAAUCUAACGCCACAACAUUUAUCUAGUCACCCAAAUUUGCAGGCGUUCGUUUUGAGACUUGUCAAAACUUUUUCCAAAAAUUCGGGAUUCAGGUCAUAUCAGGCCGGUUAUGUUUUGAAAAACUUGUAAAUUAUCAGUGAUCAAACUUCAAAACUUUGCAAAUAGGUCAAAAUACGGAAAAAAACUUGAUAUAUUAUUGAAUACUCAUUUUGUUUUGCAUUAAUAUAACGCUAUGGGUGAUAUCUAGUUCUGUUGGUAAAAUUUCUUGGGUUGAAAACAAGAAAACUAGCAUUUCAAACUCACUCAUAUGGAUGGGAAAGAAAUUUAGUUAUUAUUGGAUUAAAAAAUAAUAAUGAGAAUUAGAAAAAAAUUAUAAGGCUUCAACGAGAUUUGCUAAUCAUGUAUAGAUUAAUAUGGAGAUUAAGAACAUCACCUAAGCUAAUUAUUGAACUUGAAAGUUUAGGAGAAAAAAUUAUAUGGGUUUGGCCAUCAAUUUAGCAUUCGGAACUUAUUGUUUAGGAAGCUACGGCGGGUUUCGUAGUGGGACUUAUCCUCUUUAAUGCAUAUGGUGAUUUUAAACCAACAUAUAUAUAAUCCUAUUAUAAAACUCAUCAAACCUUCUAAAAUAACAUGUUGAGAUAGUGUGCUAGAUCCAUAUAAAUAUUUCUCCAACUUCUUAGCUUGAAGCGAUAUUCAUUUCCAUUGAUAGUUUAAUGGGCAAAGCCUUUUGAAUUCUCCAUGUUAUCAAGUUAACUUUUGCUGGAAAAUGCAAUGCGGAUAUGAAUAGAAUUUUUUGUGCAAACAAUUUUUCUAUGUUGACACAUCCUCUGGAACUUUCAGUAAAUUUUAUGGAGAAGCUUCAAUUUCUUGGUUGUUGAUUUCGAAUACAUUAAGCUCUUAUUUGGUAUUAAAGUAUUGUGGGCUAAAAGCUAUAGUUUUUAUGGAAAGAAAUUUGUAAUUGCGAAAUAAAAGUUGAUUCAGUGUGAUAAAUAUAAUUUCAGAAUAAAAAAUAAAGUAAACUUCGAAAUUAUAAUAGUAAGUAUUUAUUAAAUACUUUAGUGUUGCAGUAACUGUUUACUACAAUAUCAAAUAGGGGGCUAGUACAACAAGUUGUUAUAUUAAAAGUCUCCCAAAAAGGAAGAAGUGACUUAAAAAAUUAAAAGAAUGCAGGAGCUGAAGUUGGCAAUUUUGUAAAUUGCAAUGGCGAUUGUGAUAUAGUAAAAUCCUUCAAUGAAUCACAGCACUAGCGAUUUCGUAAUAUACAGUAGCGGCAAUUUUGUAAAAUUGAAGUAGUGAUAGUUUUGCAAAUAAAAGUAAAAACUUUUUCCCAAAAUUUGGCUGAGCAAAAAGCCAGCUUAGCCCACACUCUCCUUCGCCACUGGUUGAUGAGCUCUUCCUUCAAUUUUUGAACUUGAAGUGAUGCCCCAUCAACGUCCAGAAUUUUUAAAGUCUCCCCACUGUACAAGUUAAACAAUAAAGUCAGAAUGAUGACGGAGUUACAAACAAUCAAAUAUGAUCCUAAUGAUUCUUUUUAUACACUCACCCGUGCAUUGAUGUGUUUAAUUGAUAUAUAUUUAAGCAGAAAUUGAAGUUUGAACCUGAUUAAUUAGAUGCGAACACACAUUCAUGAGUAAUUACUUAAAAUUAAUUAACCAAAAGAGUAAAUAUAGGAGGAAAUCGAUCAUAUGCGUGCGGACACCACAAUCGAAUUAUAUAUUUAUAUCACCACAGCACAUAAAUUUUAUUCGAAUGAUAUAUGAUUAAUUAAUCAAUUUUUAAUAACAAUUAAAUUAUAAUGUCAAUUGUGCACAUAAGAUUUUUUUUCUUGAUGAAAUUAUGAAAGUUAGUAAUUAUUUUCCAUUUUUUAAAUAAUAGUUGUUAAUACAAAUCAAAAAAAUAUUGGGACUUGAGAUCAGGGUCUACUUGAGUUAGAAUUUUUUAUUAGAGAAGCUAUUAGCCAGCAAUACAAAAUAAAGAAGCAACACAAGAUAAAGAGUAAUAUAUUAUAGAAAGAUUUUAUUCGUUUCAAGUGUGUAUCAAACAAAGAGAUAUUUAUAGUUACAUAAUUACUACAUGAAAUUAAUGAAAACAUUAUGGAUCAUACUUCCUUGCGAGAUAGUGAAAGUUAUAGAGAAGGCAAAGGUUGCUAGUGGAAGAUAGUAGAGAGAUUAAGAGAUGUAUGUUAUAAACAUCCAGAUUUAUUUUAAUAAAUUCAUAGCAUUUUUUCCCCUCAAAUAAUAGGGUGUAGAGAACAAUUGGAAGGAGUUUACGCAGCCUAUAAAUUAAUACUCUGACGAAUUAAUAUCCUCUAUUAUAUAAUGACUUUUUUUAAGCACACUAAUAGGCUAAAAUGACAGUUCCAAUAAAUAAAUAAAAUAAUAUAUUUUUUUUGAAAACCCUUACAUAAUAUUGUGGUCCUACUCAUAUCAUAAAUUAAUAAUUUUUAAAUUAUAUAUAAUUAUUACACAUAAAUUAUAUAUUUUUUAAUAAAUUCAUAAUAUUUUUUCUCAAAUAAUAGGGUGUAGAGAACAAUUAGAAGGAGUUUACAAGACUCGCCUAUAAAUUAAUACUCUGGCGAAUUAAAAUCCUCUAUUAUAUAAUAAUUUUUUUUAAGGUUGCUAGUAGGCUAAAAUGAUAGUUCCAAUAAAUAAAUAAGAUUAUAUUUUUUUUUAAUGAAAACCCUUACAUUACAUUAUGGUCCUACUCAUAUAAUAAAUUAAUAAUUUUUAAAAUUACAUAUAUAAUAUUUUAUUUUAAAAAUAUGAUUUUAUUUUUUAUUAUUUUUUCUUGAAAUUUAAAUAUAGUUAGAUUUCAUCUCUAAUUUUUCUUAUUACUUUUGAGGUUAAAUUUUGAAAUUGCAAAAAUUUUGAAUUUUUUUGGUUAAUUAAAUCUGCAGUGAGUGUAUAAGAUGAUUAGAUUAGUAAAAUAUAAUAAAUUUUUAGUUGAUUAAAUAUAUGUUCAUUUAAUAUGUCUUGUGUAUACAGAGUUUACUAAGGACAAGCCGAAUAGUAAGUGAGCAUUUACACUAAUCAAUCGUGUUGAGUUGUGUCUCAUAUUGGCUAGUAAAGGGGAGAUACUUGGGUUUAUAAGAAGGUAUGUCACUCCACCUAAAAGACUAGUAUUUUGGGUUGGAUACCUAGAAAUCUUAUGUUAAGUCCCCUCAACAAAUCGGUAUUGUGCAAUGAAAAUAAGUAAUCUAAAAAUUGCCUAGGAUUUUGCCUUAUAUGUCUCAAAAUAAGCUAAUUAUGCCCAAUUAUGGCACUUGAUGGUUCAACUUUGACAUCAAAGUUGGAAACGUUUUUCUCUAGGGUGAGGCUAUUUGCACUUGAAUAUCUACUUUGAACACUCAUUUACUCAGCGCACUCAAUUAAUAAUUUCAAACUAUUAAAUUUUACUUGGAACACUCUUUUGAAUUCCUAUAUUAUCCACAUUUCUUUAAUUACUUUAUUUCUUCUUUGUACCCAAUAAAAUAUUCAUCAUCACAAACAAAAUAUCUAACUUUUUUUUUCCAUUUUUAUUCACUUUUAUUUUCUGUUCAUAAUCUGUUUUGAUAUGUAUUUGUUCUUCUCUUAUUGCUACAAUUUAAUUCUGUUUGUCAACCCAUAAAAGCAUGCGAAUUGAGUGAAAAUCAAAGUGCAAAUUUAAAACAAAAUCCUUUGAUUUACUUGCGUUUUCUUAUGUUGGAGUGGUGCAAUUUGUUGUUUGUCCUCCACCUCUAUUUUUAAUUCCUUUUGUUUCAGUUAUAAAGAUGAUCAUGAACAUGUUACUUGAUGUUUUCCUAGCAAUUCUAUUAACCAAAAAAAUGAAAAAAAAAAGUUUAGUCCAUAAGUAUAGACAAUGUUUUCAUUUGAAUAUUGAUUCAAUUCUUCGUUGUUAAUGUGGUUUAUUGUAGAUAAAAUAUAAUGUUAGAUAAAAAUUUGUUAUACUGUAUUUUAUAAUUGUCCUUAAUAGAAAAUUACAUUAAGGUUAAUUUAGUAAUAUAAAAAUUAUUAAAUGUGAGUGUCCAAAGUAAAUUUUAGAGUGCAUAUAGUCUCACCCUUUUCUUUGUGUUAUUAUAAUUAAUUUAGAAAGAGUUAGAAAGCUAAGAGUAUCCUUAGUAAAGCUCAAAUAUGUAAUACAUAUCACUAGUGAGUGAGUUUCAUAAACUUUCCUAAUUAAGUAGAUGAAUUUUGGGUUGUAAAUCCUAACACAAUAUCUAUUCAGUUGUUGAGCCUAAAAUAUCACAACUAAAUCGAUAUUGUCCGAUGUAGUCAUGCAACCCUACAUCUUCUUAGUUAGGACAAUUCAUGAAACCACUUAUUUGGGAUGUAGGAGAUGAUACAAAAUUUGUAUGUGCACGUUGGCUUAAUAUCCCAAUUACACACUCGUUUGUCUUCAUGUGCUCCGAAAAGAUCUAUUGUAAUGGAUAUAUUGUAUCUUUAUCAAAGUGCUUGUUAUAAUGAUUCUAUUGUGGUGUUAUUCGAGUUGUCACUUUUAGUUUUUGAUUAUCUUUUUUAAACAUAGUUAAUUUGAAAUGUUCUUUAAUAUCCAACACACUUGAGAUCAUCAAAUAAGUGAUUCCCGAACAUAAUUGCCUCUGAUCAUUUUGUUUGUGCCAAUAAAGGGUUGAUACAAACCAAAGACUUCUUGUCUUUAUUGUCAUUUGAGAGUAAUCAAUUACUUACGCAGUCACAUAAGUUACUGGUUGGCCUCGCACAUUUGAGAGUAACCAAAUGGAAAUGAGAGCAACGUGAUUUUCCAAAGAGAACUUCACACUAUCAUAAAACUGAAAACAUUACAAUUUAAAGCUUAAAUAACAACACACCAAAGCCAAAUAACGACCCACUAGAAUCAUGGUCCAAAGAUUGUUCCAUGAUCACAACAUGAACUACAAAAAAAAAAAAAAAAAAAAAACCAACACCAAAAAAGUAGGAACAAUUUGAAACUUUCGACUAAGCAACAUUUAUGAUCACAUCAGCAGUCCUAAACACAUCUUCUAACAAUUGCAACUGUUCAUUUUUGCUUCUGCCAAUAAACAGUUGAUAGUAACCAAAGAUUGUUGUCUUUAUUGUCAUUUAAGAGUAACCAAUUACUUACGCAGUCACGUUAGUUGCUGGUUGGCCUCGCACAUUUUUGACAAGUUUGUUUCUGAAGGAAAGCAGCUGAGCCGCAACCUCUUCCAUGCUCAUUCGUUCUCUCGGCAACUCUGAAGAGCAAGUGACUCCGAUUCCCAGUACUGAAACCAAGCACUCUUCAACACUAAAAUUUCUGGUCCAUUGUUUGUGAGCACUGGUCUCGCUUGUCUCCCCUUCUUCUCUUUCUACAAGAAGCACUGGAUCAACAAUUUCAGCGAGCCUUUCAGGAAGAGCUUCCUUGACAAAAUUAUGCAGGGUUAGAUUGCCUGUAAACAUCUCAUUCGUCGGCCUCUUUCCUGUAAACGUUUCCAGCAAGAGUAUGCCAAAACUGUACACAUCUCCACUUUUUGAGACCUCACUCCCCAUUCCGUACUCUGCAAUUUGAAAAUUAAAACUGUUGGUUCAACUAGUAAAAUCUCUAAGGAAUGCAAAAGAAGUUAAUUAAAUUAUAGUAUUUGCCUGGAGCAGCAUAACCAACGGUUCCUUUAACUCCAGUAGAGCUUGAUUGAUUAGAUGACAAGUUAUUGGUGGCGUCCGGAAGGAAUUUCGCUAAUCCAAAAUCACUUACAUGGGCAGUCAAUUCACCAUCCAGAAGAACAUUGCUCGGCUUGAGAUCACAAUGGACUAUUGGAUUUUCGCAGUAGUGAUGAAGAUAAUCCAAUGCGGAAGCCACAUCAACGGCAAUAUUCAGUCUUUGGAGGAGAUUUAAAUUCCUUGGUGCCUCAGGGUUUGGAUGCAACCAUUCCUCCAGGCUCCCGUUCACCAUGAACUCAUAAACUAAGGCCUCGAAAUCAUUUCCUUGAAAGUCAACACUUGCACACGAAGUUAUUAUUUUGACGAGAUUCCGAUGCCUAAUACUUCUAAAGGCUUGACACUCCGCUAUGAAACUCUUUGAAGCUCCUCGAUGUUGAAGAUUAAGCACCUUAACUGCCACCAGCGUUUCAUGAUCAUCAUCAUUGAGGAUUCCUUGAUAGACCGAACCAAAGCUACCGGCACCAAUCAAGUUUUCCAAAGAGAACCCAUCAGUUGCUUUGAACAGAUUCUGAUAGGACACUCGUAAAACCGAAGCCAAUACUGCUGAUGGAGGAGGGGCCGGCUCCCUUUUUGAUUUGCUCCGCCGGGAAGUAAUUAUCAAACACGACAUCCCUGUCACUAACAAAAUUACUGCAACUACAGGAAUAAUCAGUUUCAGGGAACGGGCACGUGAUUGCUUUGAUUCUUUGAUGGAACAAGUAGAUAAAUGCAACUCAGAUAUGCCACCACAGAGGUUAUCAUUUCCAUCAAGAGAUAUAGCACUUGAAUUGCUGAAGACUCCUUUUAUUGGUACUUCACCCUCAAAAUGAUUAGAAGACAGAUUUAAAUUCUGCAAAAAGAAAAAGUUUUCAAAAUAUUUUGGAAUCCGGCCAGACAAAUUGUUCCGCGAAAGAUCAAGGUUCUGAAUGCCUCUCAAAGAACUGAAUGAUGAAGGGAUAUUCCCUUGAAAGAAAUUACCAUUCAUGACGAGUUGUUCCAACCUAACGCAACUUCCUAGACUGUUUGGAAUUUCACCAGACAAUUUGUUCUCAGAUACAUCUAGAACACCCAGAUUUUUCAAGAUGCCAAAAUUUGAGGGCAAAGGACCGUUCAAUUGGUUUUGAGAUAGAUCAAGAUAGAUUGAUAAGGAAGAGAGACCAAUCACUUCAGUGGGUAUGGUACCAGUGAGGUUGUUAUUAGAGAGAUCUAAUAAUAUCAAGUUUUUGCAUUUCCCUAGACUUGAUGGAAUGCUUCCCUCUAACAUGUUUCCGUCAAAACUUAGUGUGAAUAACAAUGUCAAAUUUCCUACAGAAGAUGGAAUUUCCCCCAAAAACUUGUUCCCCUUCAGUCUCAACCUCUGCAGCUUUUGAAGAUCUCCUAUACUUCCCAGAAUUCGGCCUGUGAAUUGGUUGUCCCCAAGAUCUAAAAGCUCCAAGUUAACAAGAUUUCCUAAUCCACUUGGGAUAUUUCCGAACAAUUGAUUGUUUCCAACGGUAAAUCUUUUAAGUCGGGUUGACAAGUUCCCCACAGAUUCAGGUAACAUUCCUCCAAAAUUGUUAAUACUAAUUUCCAUCAUCUCUAGUCUAGAAGCGUUGACCAAAGAACUGACAAAUUCCAAGUCAUCUUUUUCCCCAUUUCCUAAGUGAUUCAGAGAAAAGCUAACCCGUUGGAGUUUAUAUAAAUUUUCCAAACUCGGCACCUUUCCACUGAAUCCAUUUUUCUGGAUUGUAAGUCUCAUUAGAUUUGAGGCAUUGGAUAUUGAAGCAGGAAUAGGCCCAGUAAACUGAUUAUUACCAAAGUUUAGUACUUCAAGAUUAGGAAGAGUGAAGCCUAAGUCUGAUGGAAGGCUUCCUUGAAGUUCAUUAACAGGAAAAUCCAAAAGACUAAGCGAAGACAAGUUGUAGAUUGAGAAAGGGAUUUCACCUGAUAGCUUAUUUGCUCCGAAUCCUAUUGAACGCAUCCUCUUAAGCUCGCUCAAGGUUUCAGGAAUUUGUCCCACAAACUGAUUUACAGCUGCUGAAAGGAACUCGAGUGAUGACAAAUUGCCAAAGGAAGAUGGGAUUUCUCCUGACAAAUUGUUGAAGUGUACUGCUAGAGUCCGGAGCUUUGAUAAGGAGCCUAGUUUCCCUGGAACUUUCCCCACAAGCUCAUUGAAGCCUAACCAGAGGGAUUCAAGAUUAACGCAAUGUGAUAGGUUGUCAGGAAUUUGACCUCUGAAUGUAUUUUUCUCCAGGCUUAAUUUUUGUAACCUGAACAGAUAUCCAAUCUCUUGAGGGAUUUCGUUGCGGAAGCUAUUGUUUUUGAGAUCUAACACUCUGAGAAAACUUAAAUUACCAAUGUGAGGCGACAGAGACCCCUGUAAGAGUAAAGAUGGAAGAAGUAAUGCAGUCACCCUUUGGUGCCGUCGACUGCAAGUGACACCUUUCCAUUGACAAAAGUGCCUGGAAUAGUUCCAUGAACUCAAAACCUCAAGAGGGUCAUGAGUAACUUUGGCCUUGAAUUCAAGCAAUGCAAGUUGAUCAGUUUCAUUGCUUUUGAGCAUAUAAUCGGUUGACUGCAAGCUGAAGCUGAAGCAACAGAAAAUAAAGAAACAAAUGCUUACAAUGAUUGAACUCAUCAUGUUUACAAAAUCCAUUUAACUGCCGAAGGAAAUUAAAAUGAUAAAACUUUUGUGGAGGUUGGUAAGAUAAACUAUGUUUGUAUAUUUUUUGCAAUGAUUUAUGGACUCUGUACUUGAUGCUCAAAUGUGAACCGGCUGGCACCGUGACAGUGAAACUAAUACUUUUUGUUUUUCUAAUAAUAUUAAUUAUCAUAUUUAUUACUAUUGUAAGAAUAAUAUAUUGCAGCUUUAAAGAAAGACUCACCAUACUCCUUUUCGAGUCCUGUCAGUUUCCAGCAUUUGGUCAUUUUUUUAUUUCACCGCUUAAUCCACAGUAAAUAUAAAACAAUUUAAUCAACAAUAUUGAAAAAGAAAAAAAGUAGGACAAGAGAAAGGUAAAUACUGUUAAAUGAGUUGGGAAACGUUCAAAGCACGACGGGAAUUAAAAUUAUAAACUUUUAUAAAGGUUGGUAAGAAAAAACAUAUUUGUAUAUAUUUUUUUCAAUGAUUUAUGGACGCUAUACUUGAUGCUGAAAUGUGAACCGGCUGGCACCGGGACAGUGAAACUAAUGCUUUUUAUUUUUCUAAUAAUAUUAAUUAUCAUAUUUAUUACUAUUGUAAGAAUAAUAUAAUACAGCUUUUCCUUUAAGGAAGACCCGCCACACUAACUUUUGACGCUCUAUAAGUUUCCAGUAUUUUGUCAUUUUGUAUUGUAGUGCUUAAUCCACAAUGAAUAUAAAAGUUUAAAGCACCACAGGAUGAUGGAUGGAGUUUCACAUUACUGUUAAAUGACUUUGAAAGGUUUAAAGCACCACAGGAACCAACGUUUCACAAUGCCUUUUUCCCUUGUGAAAUAUUCAGUGCAGUCUCUCCCAGAUUUUGCUAGUGCAACAACGAGACGUCAUGCCGUUAACAAUUUUAAACUGUAAAUGACAUGUUGUUUUUACAAGACAUAUUAUGCGUCGAUACAUACCUUUUCUGGUUGUUGGUUUAUAAAAAUAUAUGAAACGGCAUGAGUGUGACAACUCUUGUAAAAUUUUUAAAAACAACAUAAUCAAUGGUAUUCUUAUCUCCCAGCUGCCGUUUGCCGUUUGGAAUUGUUCUGUAUAAGAUCUUGAUCAUCGAAUUUACCACUAGGGCGUAUGCUUUAUUUUCUCGAAUUACAUUGCUGCCUCAUCUUUUGUGUUUUCGGUUCUGUUGUGGAUCUCCUCUGUUUUUUUCUGAUUUUGGGCCCGAAGGGCACGUUAAUUGAAAUCAACAAAUCUGGUAAAAAUGACGUUAAAUUCGAUCAGAUUUACAUAUUUAAUUACAAAUGCAGUAACCCCGAUCAGAUGCAUACACUAAUUUUAUUUAUUUUGUCAGCUUUAACCUCACUGUCAUUUUGAAUAGCCUACAAGAGUCGAAUGACUAGAUUUCCAAUUUGCUAUCAUCCCCCUUGAAUGGGUUCAAGAAAUUCAGCAGGUUGCGAAACAAUAAGAUUCAUUCAAUCCGUGUAGAUAUCUAACUGACUGAAAUUAAAUAAAUGAUGAUGAUAAGAAAUUUGAAAUCAACAAAUCUCGGCACAUCUAUUCUGCAAUUUAGCCGUACUUCAAAUAAUCUUGCGAUAAAAAUUUCUUAAAAAUCUCAGAAAGAGGACAGAACAACCAAGGCAUCAGCGAAAGCAAUCGAUGUUAGGAAAUUGGUGGGUGCAGCAGUACCGCAACUAAAAUAAAAUUGGAAAUAAAAUAAAGAACAAGCACAAUAGAGGACACCAAAAAUUACGUGGUUCGGCUUUUAGCCUACAUCUACGGGCGAAGACAGAAGGAAAUAUUUUACUAGUGAAAUAAGGAUUACAAGUAUUGUAAGAUUUUAGCUCACUACCCAAAACCCCAAUACACCCAAUCUCUCACUCACUACACAUGCAAGAGUUUAUUAAACUCUUGAAAACUCUCAACACUCAAAGAAAGAAAAAUUUCUCUCAAUGGAAUUGAAUACAAAAUGAAAUGAGGAGCUCUGCCUUUUAUAGCCAAAAAAUGGCUAUUAAAUUAUUAUUUUUACCACCGUCUUCAUUCUGCUAUUUUCUUCUUUCUUCUUUUUUCUUCAUUCCAAAUUUGCUGCUGCCAAAUUCUUCAACAUUUUCUUUGGCCGGCUGUCAAAGCCAACUUUGCUUAUUCAAGGGUUCUAGAUGCAGUAGCUUCUAGAUGCAGCCAAAUUUGACAUUCUCCCACUUGGAGAUUAGAUUGAGAAUCAAUCAAUCUCCACAUCAUCCUUUCUGUUUCGCCAUAAUCAUGUUGCCUACGUUGCUGCUAGGCCACAAGAGGAUCUACUCCAGAUAAACUUGUCAGCAUUUAUUGGCUUGGUCAAAACAUCUGCUAGGUUCUCCUUCGUAUGGAUUUUCUGCAAAUCCACACUUCCAUCUUCCACUACUUCUCGAACGAAGUGAUACUGAACUCCUAUGUGCUUUGUCCUGGAAUGAAAGGCUAGAUUCCUUGCAAUGUGCAAGGCACUCUGACUGUCACAAAACACAAGAAUUUUCUGUUGUUUGUGCCCGAGCUCCUCCAAUAAUCUUUGUAUCCAAAUAGCUUCCUUGCAAGCUUGUGUAGCUGCCAUGUAUUCUGCUUCUGUUGUAGAUAAUGCCACAACGGUCUGCAGUUUCAAAACCCAGCUUACAGCUGCUCCCGCAAGUGCAAACACAUAACCAGUAGUGGAUUUCCUUUUAUCAAGGUCUCCUGCAAAAUCUGAAUACACAUAGCCCCUGACAGUAAACUCUGAUCCUCCAUAACAUAAUGCAACAUCUGAGGUUCCUCUGAUGUAUCUCAGAAUCAUCUUCACAGCUAUCCAAUGCUCUCCGCCAGGAUUCGCCAUGUAUCGACUGACUGCUCCCACUGCUUGUGCAAUGUCCGGUCUUGUACAUAUCAUAGCGAACAUUAAACUUCCCACUGCUGAUGCAUACGGUACUCGAGACAUCUCCUUCCUCUCUGCUUCAUUGCUAGGACACAUACUUGAGGAUAAUUUGAAAUUAACAGGAAAUGGGGUAGAAAUUGACUUACAAUCUUGCAUGUUGAAGCGCCGCAAGAUUUUCUUCAAGUAAUUCUUCUGUGAUAGCCAAAUCUUCCUGUUAUUUUUGUCUCGGUGAAUUUGCAUCCCUAGAAUCUUGUUUGCUGGUCCCAAGUCCUUCAUUUCAAACUCCCUAGCCAACUGUGCCUUCAAUUCUUGGAUUCGAUCUUUGUUGGGACCUGCUACCAACAUGUCAUCUACAUACAACAGCAAAAUGAUGAAAUCAUUAUCUUCAAACCUCUUGUAAUAUGCACAAUGGUCUGAACUGAGUCUGUUGUAUCCAAGGCUCAUGAUGAAGGAAUCAAAUCUCUUAUACCAACACCUCGGCGCCUGUUUGAGACCGUAUAGAGAUUUGUUCAACUUGCAAACCAAGUUCUCCUUUCCUGUUUCUGCAAAACCUUCUGGUUGGAGCAUAUAUAUUUCUUCUUCAAGUUCUCCAUGAAGAAAUGCAGUUUUCACAUCUAACUGCUCUAGAUGUAGGUCAAAUGUAGCACACAUUGCCAAGACUAUUCUGACUGUUGUGAGUCGAACCACGGGCGAAAAUAUCUCGUUGAAGUCAAUGCCUUCUUUCUGAGCAUAUCAUUUCACCACCAAUCUUGCACGAUACCGCUCCACUUGGUCAUUGCCAUCACGCUUGAUCUUGUAGACCCAUUUGUUUCCAAUGGCUUUUCUUCCAUGUGGUAGUGGUACAAGUUCCCAUGUCUUGUUCUUGUGUAGAGCUUCAAUUUCUUCCUGCAUUGCUGUCAUCCACAAAGCAACAUCUGAGCUGUUUAAAGCUUCAUGGAAAGUUGAAGGCUCUCCAUCCUCUGUUAAAAGACAGUAUGCAACGUUGAUCUCUGUGACAUACUCAGAGUGCCACACCGGCGGUCGUCUCUCACGAGUUGACCGACGAACUUCUGGAGCCUCGGACUCGACUGGUUCUUGUUCCUCGUGCUCUGGUGCUGCUUCAGAAGAAUCUGAAUCUUCUGGAUUAUUUUCUACAUAUACCGGCACAAUCUCUGACUUUUCUUUUACAGUGCCAUCAUCUCCAUCUUUCAUUUGCAGUUGAUCUUCUACAAAAAUAACAUCUCUGCUGAUGACGAUCUUGUGGGCAGUGGGGUCCCACAGACGAUACCCCUUUACUCCAUCAGCAUACCCCAAGAAGAUACAUCUUCUAGAUUUUGGAUCCAACUUUGUUCUUUCUUGGGCAUUGUACAUCACGUACACAGGACAUCCAAAUGCAUGUAGGUAGGAAUAAUCAGCUGGCUUUCCAGUCCACAUCUCCAUCGCCGUCUUCAACCCAAUCGCUGUAGAUGGUGAUCGAUUUACUAUAUAACAGGCAGUUUUGGCUGCUUCUGCCCAUAAUGAAUUGGGUAAACCAGCAGUCCUCAACAUAGCUCUUAUUCUUUCUGUAAGAGUUCUGUUCAUCCGCUCUGCCACUCCAUUUUGUUGAGGAGUGUACGCCACCGCGAACUGCCUCUGAAUACCUUCUUGCUUACAGAAAGCAAGAAACUCGCCCUCUGUAUAUUCUCCACCAUUAUCCGUCCUCAAGCACUUGAUCUUUUUACCAGAUUCAAGUUCCACACGCGCUUUGUAUUCUUUAAACACAGGAAAUACAUCUGACUUUUUCUUAAUUGGAUACACCCAACAUCUUCUAGAAUAAUCAUCAAUGAAAGUCACUAUGUACUUUGCACCUCCCAUGGAUAUAUCCGGUGAUUCCCAAACAUCAGAAUGAAUCAAGUCUAGAAUGCAUUUACUUCUAGCAAUAGAUCUACUGAAUUUUAAUCUAUGCUGCUUACUUAUAACACAAUGCUCGCAAAAUGGUCUGAAUUUUAAUCUAUGCUGCUUACUUAUAACACAAUGCUCGCAAAAUGGUAAACUUACCGAUUUGAGCCCCGGAAGCAAUUUUCGCUCAGAGAGAAUCUUCAAGCCUUGUUCUGACAUGUGACCAAGUUUGAGAUGCCACAUCAUCGUUGAUUCUUCUCCAUUUGACGCGACACACGUAUUAGCCUCCUGUAGUGUUUCUCCUCUAAGCAUGAAUAGAUUAGCACCGAUCUUUUCUGCUUUCAUCAAUACAAGCGCGCCUUUAACGAUCUUCAUAAUUCCAUUCUCCACAUGAGUUUUGUACCCAUGACUAUCCAUGUGUCCCAAAGACAAUAGAUUUUUCUUCAAGCCAUUGACAUGUCGUACCUCUCCAAUUGUGCGAAUUGUACCAUCAAACAUUUUUAUUUUGAUAGUACCAAUACCAGCGAUCUCCAAGGCAUGAUCAUCUCCCAUAUAUACAGAUCCUCCUGAGAUAGGUUCAUAUGUGUGGAACCAUUCUCUCCGAGAGGUCAUGUGCCAGGUAGCUCCUGAGUCUAUAAGCCAGACAUCAGACAAUCGUUUUCUGCCUUCUGAAACAGUUGUUGCCUCGCUGUAAAGAAUUUCGCCAUCAUCUGAGGUACUUGCUACACAACCCUGAGCAUUUGAUGACUCAGGUUCUUUUCCCUCUUUUCUCUUCUGGUUACUCCAACAUUCUUUCUUGAUGUGCCCUUUCUUGCCACAUUUGUAGCAUUUAACAUUAUUCUUACUCAUGGAUUUUGAUCUACCCUGAUUUUGACUCCCACUGGGGCCACGUUCCGUUGAUCUCCCUCUCGUCACCGAUAGCGCCUCCGCUUGCUGCGAACUUGCUUGUCUGUUUUCCUUAUUUUUCCACCUGCUCUCCUCAUUUAAUACGGAGGCUGCAACAUCGUCGAAAACUAGACUCUCCACUGGAUUGUUGUUCGUCAGGUUGAUGAUGAGUUGAUCAUACGAAUCUGGUAGACUUUGAAGUAGAAGCUCUGCACGUUCAUUUUCCUCUAUAUUAUGACCCAACAUUGUGAGUUGUGAAAAUAGAGUCUUCAAUGUGUUGAUGUGGUCGGUCACCAUUGUAGAUUCCGUCAUUCGAAGAGUAUAGAGUUUUCUCUUCAAGAAGAUUUUGUUGUGUAGUGACUUGGCCUCAUACAAUUUUGUGAGAGUAUCCCAUAUUUCCUUCGCCGUAUUUUUCUCUGCCACACUGGAUAAUACUCCAUCCGCAAGUGCCAAGUGUAGAUCAGAAAUGGCGUUGCCGUCUACCUCGUUCCACUUGUCAUCAGUUAUCUCCAUGGGCCUUUCUCCAAUUGCUGCCAAACAAUUAUUUUUCCUCAAUACAGCUUUCAUCUUCAUUUUCCACAAUGAAAAAUUAUUUCCGUUAAACUUCUCAAUUUCAUACUUUGCCGCCAUUUUGUUGAUAAAUACUGUACACAAGUUAGUGUACCACCUUGAAUAGUUGUGAGUAUGUGUGAUAAUGCACACCAGGAAAGUUCCCAGGAAAGACUGGAGGGGUCACAAUGGUCCCACUUAAAACCCAGACUCCUUAAGCUCUUAUCGCCUUUGUGACAGAACUUUCCUAGACAUGUACAAAACCACAGUUGUUUUUCUCACACUACUAUUCCCUGCUUUGCACCGGAAAAUUCUUGGAUCGCUUCCACCGUUUCACGUGAAUAGUACCGUAUACGUGAACAAUACCAUAUAUGUGAACAAACCCGUAUACGUGAACAACACAGUAUACGUGAAUAGUGUCGUAUACGUGUACAGUGCCGUAUACGUGAAUAGUACCCCUUACGUGAACAGUUCCCGACUCCAAAAAUACAACCAAUAGCUCUGAUACCACUGUUAGGAAAUUGGUGGGUGCAGCAGGACCGCAACUAAAAUAAAAUUGGAAAUAAAAUAAAGAACAAGCACAAUAGAGGACACCGAAAAUUACGUGGUUCGGCUUUUAGCCUACAUCCAUGGGCGAAGACAGAAGGAAAUAUUUUACUAGUGAAAUAAGGAUUACAAGUAUUGUAAGAUUUUAGCUCACUACCCAAAACCCCAAUACACCCAAUCUCUCACUCACUAGACAUGCAAGAGUUUAUUAAACUCUUGAAAACUCUCAACACUCAAAGAAAGAAAGAUUUCUCUCGAUGGAAUUGAAUACAAAAUGAAAUGAGGAGCUCUGCCUUUUAUAGCCAAAAAAUGGCUAUUAAAUUAUUAUUUUUACCACCGUCUUCAUUCUUCUAUUUUCUUCUUUCUUCUUUUUUCUUCAUUCCAAAUUUGCUGCUGCCAAAUUCUUCAACAUUUUCUUUGGCCGGCUGUCAAAGCCAACUUUGCUUAUUCAAGGGUUCUAGAUGCAGUAGCUUCUAGAUGCAGCCAAAUUUGACAAUCGAGGCAGGGCACGCUCAAGCCACGAAUUAGAGGAAUUUUAAAUAUCAAAACCAGCUCAGAAUAAUAAGAAGUAAAAUGAAACUAAAAAAGGCUCAGAUUUUUGGAUGAGUGAAGGGAAGAUGAGAAGAUGAAAUGCAGAAAGUCAAGAAAUGAAUAAACCAAUAUUAAUAAUCUUGGACCCACAUCUCUAAUUUGGAUUAAGCAUCCAUCUGCCUAUGUGGAUAAUAUUUUUGCUAAUUUUUCAGCCAUGCAGCAGGAUCAUGUUCGUCUUGUUUUAUUUGAUAGAAGGAAUUUUCCCUUGGAAGAAAAUGAUGAGUCGUUUCAACGUAAUGCAGCUACCUAGACUGCAUGGAAUUUCACCAGACAAUGACAAUUUAUUCUCAGAUAUAUCUAAAUCUAACGCCCCCACAUUUGUUUAGUCACCCAAAUUUGAAGGCGUCCGUUUUGAGACUGAUCAAAACUUUUUCCAAAAAUUCGGGAUUCAGGUCGAUCAGGCCGGUUAUGUUUUGAAAACUUGUAAAUUUUCAGUGAUCAAACUUCAAAACUUUGCAAAUAGGUCAAAAUAUGAAAAAUUCUUGAUAUAUUAUUGAAUACUCAUUUUGUUUUGCAUUAAUAUAAGGCUAUGGGUGCUAUCUAGUAAUGUUGGUAAAAUUUCUUGAGUUGAAAACAAUAAAACGAAAAUAGCUCUAAUAGAUCCACCCCUGUUUGAAACUCACUCAUAUGGAUGGGAAAGAAAUUUAGUUACCAUUGGAUUAAAAAAUAAUUAUUAUUAUUAGAAAAAAAAUUGUAAGGCUUCGACAAGAUUUGCUAAUCAUGUAUAGGUUAAAAUUUAUGUGGGUUUGGCCACCAAUUUAGCAUUAGGAACUUAUUGUUUAGGAAGCUAUGGUGGGUGUCGUAGUGGGACUUAUUCUCUUUAAUGCAUAUGGUGAUUUUAAACCAACAUUUAUAUAAUCCCAUUAUAAAACUCAUCAAACCUUCUAAAAUAACAUGUUGAGAUAGUGUGCUAGAAGUAUUUCUCCAACUUCUUAGCUUGAAGCGAUGUUCAUUUCCAUUGAUAGUUUAAUGGGCAAAGCCUUUUGAAUUCUCCAUGUUAUCAAGUUAAUUUUUGCUGGAAAAUGCAAUCCGGAUAUGAAUAGAAUUUUUUGUGCAAUCGAAUUUUCUAUGUUGACACAUCUUCUGGAACAUUCAAUAAAUUUUAUGGAGAAGUUUUAAUUUCUUAGUUGUUGAUUUCGAAUAUAUUAAGCUCUUAUUCAGUAUUAAAGUAUUGUGGCCUAAAAGAUAUAGUUCGUAUGGAAAGAAAUUUGUAAUUACAAAAUAAAAAUUGAUAAAGUGUGAUAAAUAUAAUUUCAAAAUAAAAAAUAAACUUAACUUCAAAAUUACAAUAGUAAUUAUAAAGUAUUUACUAAAUACAUUAGUGUUGCAGUAACUGCCCUACCACAAUGACAAAUAGGGGGCUAAUACUACAAAUUGUUCCAUUAAAAGUCACCCAAAAAGGAAGAAGUGACUUAAAAAAUUAAAAGAAUGCAGGAGCUGAAGUUGGCUAUUUUGUAAAUUGCAAUGGCAAUUGUGGCCUAGUAAAAUCCCUCAAUGAGUCACAGCACUAGCAAUUUCGUAAUAUACAUUAGUGGCAAUUUUGUAAAAUUGAAGUAAUGAUAGUUUUGCAAAUAAAAGUAAAAACUUUUUCCCUAAAUUCGGCUGAGCUAAAAACCAGCUUAGCCCACAGUCUCCUUCGCCACCGGUUGACGAGCUCUUCCUUCAAUUUUUGAACUUGAAGUGAUGCCCCAUCGAUGUCCAGAAUUUUUAAAGUCUCCCCAUUGUACAAGUUAAACAAUAAAGUCAGAAUGAUGAUCCUAAUGAUUCUUUUUAGAGAGUCACCUGUACGUUGAAGUGUUUAAUUGAUGUUUAUUUAAGCAGAAAUUGAAGUUUGAUCCUGAUUAAUUAGAUGAGAACACACAUUCAUGAGUAAAUACUUAAAAUUAAAUUAAUCAAAAUAGUAUAAAUACAGGAGAAAAUCGAUCAUAUGCGUACAGAAAUCACAAUCGAAUUAUAUAUAUCACCGCCGCACAGAAAUAACAAUUAAAUUGUAAUGUCAAUUGUCCACAUAAGAUUUUUUUUUUUUUUUUUUUUUUUUUUGUUGAUGAAAGUUAGUAAUUUUUUUCCAUCUUUUUAAAUAAUAGUUGUUAAUAAAUAUCAAGAAAAUAUUGGGACUGGAGAUCAGGGUCUACUUAAGUUAGAAGUGAGAGUAGUGCAGAUAUGUGGGGAUUAUAUGCAAGGUGGCUUAAAAGUAAAGGAGAUCUUACAAUGUGCUCUGAAGCCCUCUUAAAGCAAGUCAGAUCAUAUCAGGUUUCUCCAUAAAUCUCAUCAUCUUAUAAUAAGUUAGCAUUAUGUUUUACUUUGAUGUUGAUGGAAUUUGUUAAUGCUAAUCAAAUUUUGUUAAUCUCCCUCUCUUUUUUUUUUAAUUUAAAAGAAGGCAAAUAAAAAGCUUUGUGAUUUCAUUUUUGUUUUCUAAAUUUGUUAUCUAAAGGAAUGACAAGUUGAUAACUCAGCCUCUGUGUGUGUGUGUCUGUGUCAGGGAUCUGAUUUGUGGAAAGAUAGAGAUCGGUUUAAAAGGUUUUCAUAUGCAUCCUUGGAACUUUGUAAGGUUUACAUGGAAAUUUCUUCCUCUUCCGGUAGCCGUCGAGAGCUCUUUGCUGCUGAGAUGCACCUGAAGAACGUACUUAAACAAGUAAAACACCUUAUAAUUCGAUAUUUAAGACACUUACAGUUGGUUUAAAGAUUGUAUUUUCUGUUUCUGUUUUUGACUGGUUCAGGGUAAAACUUUUUCUCACUGUGUUAGAGUGCAUUUCUGUUAUUAUAUAGUUUCUUAGAAGAAAAUGCACUUUUUGGAAUCUCAGGCUAAAGGAUUUUCUGACAUGGAAGAGUUCAGGGAUCUUCAAGCUUGCCUUGAUGAAGUGAAGACAAAACUCCAAUCUGGUCCCGUGGCUACCUAAGUAUCAGGAAUGUGCUAUUUUUGAAAUUUAGUAACAAGGUUAAAUCUGCAACUAAAAAUUAUUUUAGUUUGUACUGUAGUGGAGACCUUAAGCAGGACUGAAUAUCUUGUAUUGUUGUAUCACCUUUUCUGUAACAAAACGGUCUAGUUUUACUAUUUUUAUUAUUUUUGUAUUUUCGGUGCUGUAACUAAUCUCAUUUGACAAUUUAAAUAUAUGGCUUCAAGUUCUUUAAAUGUAACAUCAAGUGUUGUUUCAACCUCUGUUCUUUUAUGUAUUUCUUGCAUGCGGUGAUUUCAUUAACCUCAAUUUAAGGACAAUUUCAUAUCUUUUUUCUUUCUGCUUUUCUUUUAUCAUUUAAAAACAACACACACACACACACACACAUUUAUAUUUCAGAAGAGGAAAUUGCACGGGAUAUGACUCAAUACUUGCUAAAUGCCAAGACUAUGACCCAAUUAUUUACAUGCCGAGACUAUGACCGAAUAACAAGUGAAAGUACACAAAUAUCCUUAUAAGUAACUAAGUUAAAAAUAUAAAACUUGAGUUAGGAAGUUUAGGAAUGCAUUGAACUUGUAUUCAUUACUUUGAUUAAUCCAUUUACCGUUAUACAAGACAAUAACACGUACCAUAUCCAUUUACAUAAAAAUUAUGAGUUGACAAAGUAAGAAUAUUAACAAAAAUAAGUUGUUAAAAGUUCUUGUAGACUUCUGUGCUUCAGUUCUAGACUUCUAGAUUUAUAGACUUACCUACAUGUCUAUAAGUCUAGAUGUAAAGAAGUCACGAAAACGAUAACAAUGAUAAACAAACUCAAUUCAACAACAAAUUUGAUGUGUAAAAAUUGUGUUGAAGAAUUUUUUGGAAUCUGUUUGAAUUUGUUAAGGGAAUGUGAUGAUUUUAGUAAGUGUUUGAUAACAACUUAGAAUGUUGGACGCAUUAUAGUGCUGGGUGCAUGCUUUUGUUGGAAAAGAUAAGGGCAUUUUAGACUAGGGAUCACCAAAAUGUCAUACAAAUUUAAUUGAGUAAAAUUUGUCAUAUUUAUAUAAAAUGUACAUGAUUUUGUCAUAUAUAAAUAAAAAACCCAUUUCAGAAAGCAUUUAAACAAAGCGAGAGUACAAUAAAAAACCCAUUUUAGAAAGCAUUUAAACAAAGCCAGAGUACAAUAUAGAAAGAUUUUACUCAUUCUAAGUGUGUACCAAACAAAGAAAUGAACUCUCCUUUUCUAGUUAUAUAAUUAUUACAUGAAAUUAAUAAAAACAUGACGAAUUAUAAUUCCUUGCGAUAUAGUGGGGGUUAUAGAAAAGUCAAGAGUUGCUAGUGGAAGAUAAUAGGGAGAGUACAAUAUAUAUAUUAUGAACAUUCACAUUUAUUUUAAUAAAUUCAUAGCAUUUUUUUUGCUUAAAUAACAGGGUGUAUGUAUAUAUAUAUUGACAUAAAAAUUGCAUGACGUGUGGUUUAGCGUUUCUUGGUUGUUCAGUGCUAGUUUUAUGUCAAUUUUUAUUGACAUAAAAAUUGCAUGACACAAAAAAGGCUGUUUUAACCAACUAAAAACCAAAAGCUAAAACCCAAAACCCCCCUCUUUUUCGUUUUCCAGGGACUUCACCUUGAUAUUCAACCAACACUUCUGAUGUCUGCCCUUCAAUAAACCAAGUCAUUCAUACACAUGAUUCUACUAUUGGUGAUGCCUCUGAUGUUUUUGUGACCCCAAAAUUAUUGGGGAAUAGUCAUGAAUCUGAAUCUGGAGUCCAAUGCAUUCACGCUGGUGGCUCAGCAGCCCAUUUAAAGGCAAUCCAACAGGCAGUGAUCUUGUCGAGGUGCCUUCUAAUAGAAAAGAGCUCAUGGCAAGAUGAAAUGCAAAGUAAGUUGUUUUAUGGUUGGCCGGUGUGUAGUCAUCUCGUUAAAGGCCAUAAGAUGUUUAGCAUAUUGCUAUUUAAUUUUUAAAUCAUUCUCAGUAAUAAUUCCUUUAGUAGAUUGAUGAUAAGAGAUUGCAUUACAGAUGAUAACGGAGCACAAUUUUUGUAGUUGUAUCCCUGUACAUCCAUCUUAAUAUCCUCAUUAUAUUCACAUGCCUUUUACGGGUGUUAUUUCUGGAUGCCGAAUGCUUUGCUCCACGUCUGGAUACCAAAUGCUUUGUUCCACAAAGCUGAGCUGGUUGAAAAGCUAGCUGAUGAGGUCAACACGUCCCUUAAGUAAUUUGAGGAUGAACACUGUGUUCCCGAAAGUCUUACUCUAAUGAUACUUAAAGAAGCAAUGAGAAUGGAUGUUGCAGCAGCUUUGCUGAACUCAACUCCAGUUCCAAAAAUGGAACAUGUGAAAACCGAAAAUGCAUUGUUUUUUUUUUUUUCCUCUUUAUGACUUCUCUAGUUGGGGAAUGUAUUAGAUAUUCACCUAAUCAGUAGGCCUUGAAGGGAUCCCAUGUUAGCCCCUUGAUGUUGGUCUGUAACUAAGUAAAUACUUGACCUUGAAAAAGCUUUUGGAGGCAUCAGUUUCUCUCUGACUGGUGCUACUUUUUGGAUCUGUUGAUUUGGUCAUUUGCUGAUUUAUAGUUUGUUUUCUGAUUCAGGAUGGGAUAUGGCUCCAUACAUAGAGGCAACUGAUUCACAGCAGUCGUCAUGCUUCAUUGUAAAUAUAUAUACAAUACAGCAUCAGUUUUUCUUGAUUUUAAAUCUCAUAUUCUGAAGUGGUACUUCUGAUUCUCACAUGAUUUUUCCAUCUUUCAGCUAAAGUUUUUCUGUGAUCUCUUACGUAUUAGAUGGGAAUCCACCCGCAGUCGCACAAAAGGGCGUGCUUUAGAGAUGAUGGACAAACUGGUAUGAUCUGUGAGCCUUUUCUUCUUAAAUAUUUUGUUACCUAAACCAUUUUCAUUCAAAUUGACAAGUGUUGCUUAUCAAUCUAUAGAAGAUUCCAAACUUUCUGCAGCUAGUACUUUAUUGGACCCAAAAGCUUUUUUGCUUUUUCUAAGCUGCUAAUCAGGACUAGGUUUCUCUCCCUUAUAUCGCUAGAUAUCCCAUUAAUCGUUUGAUUUAGUUGUCUAGAGAGAUUAGGUACUUGCAUCUUCGCUUUUCACUUCACAAGUGAUUUCAUGUGCUAUCCUGUAUUCUGGUUCAAGAUUUUUGAAGGUUGCUUACCAUCAUAUUUUGCUUUGUUUCAGGUUGAGGGCAUUUCUAAUUCUUCUCCCGGUGUGACUCAAAGGAUUCCCUUUUGUUAUGUGAUUUAAGUUCCAACUAUUCCUACCCUGCGAAAGUAAUACUAUUUCUUUUGCUUCUUUGAAUGAUUGUGAUUUAAUUUUCUUGUCAUUUUGCCAACUAUCAUUAUGCUGUCAUUGUUUCAUAUCUUAUUUGACAUAUGUUGAUUUGGUUAGAGUUUAAUUGCUCUGUUUAUUCUCUUUAUAAUCUGUCUAUUUCGAUUUUUCUUGAUUUUAG
rnacentral:lncRNA from 1 species